rnacentral:lncRNA from 1 species
UUUUUUUUUGUAGUGUAUGACUUUGCUAUGCUUAAUGCUUGUCACUAGGGCCUGAGUGCCAUGAUUUCAGAUCUGAACCAUUUAUGUUAUCACCAUUAUAUCUAUGUUUGUGAUUCGAUCUUGCAAGUCAUAUGCACCUAUUAUGUGUUAUGAUCCAUAAACCCCAAGGUGACAAUAAUUGGGAUACUUUCCGGUGAUCACCGUAAUUUGAGGAGUUCAUGUAUUCACUAUGUGUUAAUGCUUUGUUCCGGUUCUGUAUUAAAAGAGGCCUUAAUAUCCCUUAGUUUCCUUAUGGACCCCAUUGCCAUGGGAUGGUAGGACAAAAGAUGUCAUGCAAGUUCUUUUCCAUAAGCACGCAUGACUAUUUACGAAAUACAUGCCUACAUUAUAUUUGUGAACUGGAGCUAGUUUUGUAUCGCCCUAGGUUAUGACUAUUAUAUGAUGAAUAUCAUCCAACAAAAUCACCGAUCCAAUGCAUACGAGCUUUUCGCAUAUUGUUCUUGCUAAGUUACUACUGUUGCUACUGUUGUUACAACUGCUACAAAAUUAUCACUACUGCUGUUACCGUUACGGUUACUAUUACUAUCACUGCUAUCACUAUCAAACUACUAUGCUAUUGAUCACUUUAUUUUAGAUAUUAAAUCUCCAGGUGUGGUUGAAUUGACAACUCAACUGCUAAUACUUACCAAUAUUCUUUGGCUCCCCUUGUGUGAAUCAAUAAAUUUGGGUUGAAUAAUCUACCCUCAAAAAUUGUUGCGAUUCCCUAUACUUGUGGGUUAUCAAGACCUUUCCUGGAGCCGUUGCCGGGGAGCAUAGCUAUAUUUGUUGAGUAACUUGGGAUUUCUAUCUAUUUAUCACUAUGAAGAAUCUAAAAGAUACUAGAACCAAGAUUGUUCCCUCUAAGACAAGGGGGUAAGGAAUUGACAUCUAGCUUUGCACUUGAUUCACCUUCUAUUUUGAAUAGACUUGCAACAUCACCAAUUGCUAUUAAUCCUCAUAUGUCGCAAGUUAUUGAUGAUGCUACUUCUGCUAUGACUGAUGCUAUUGAUGAUGCUAGUACCUUGCUAGAUGAUAAUGUGCCACUAGGUGAAUUUCUUGAUGAACAACUUGCUAGAGCUAAAGAUGUUAAGAAUGCUGAAACUGAUGAAAUUACUGAAACUAGUGAAGUCUUUGAAACUGAAAACUAUGAAACACCUAUUAGACCUAGCUCUCAUAGAUUUGAAUUGCCUAAGGUACCUGAGGGUUAUGUUAUGGAUGGAGAGGUAGCUAGAGACUUUCUUGCUUGCAAGGAUAGAGAUGAUCUUAAGAAAUUAUUAUGCAAGUUGAAAGAAAAAUCCUUGAAUGCUAGAAUGAAAUGUGACCAUAAGUUUGCUACUUCGCCUAUCUCUGUUACUGAUAAGGAUUAUGAGUUCUCUGUCGACCCAGAAUUAAUACAUUUGGGUUGAAUACUCUACCAACAAAAACUGUUGUGAUCCCAUAUGCUUGUGGGUUAUCAACCCCCCCCAACCCCCAAGGUGGGCUAACGUGCCUUUGCCUUCGUACUUCCAUAAAAAUUUGCCACAAAUUUAUUUCAUGUUGUUUUUGUCCCCAAAAAAUUGAUUUUCCUGAAUAGUCAAAAAACAGCAGAAAUCAACAACUAACACUUGGCACUAAAUUACUAGGUUAGUUCAAAAAAUGGUAGCAAGUGAUGCCAAAACCGUGUAAUCUACCCCUAAUAAUAAAGGGGCUAUUGCUUCUGAUCCUAUUUCAUACAAUUUACCCUAUAAAUUGACAAAAAUACCCACCAAUACCACCUGUAUGUCAAAAAACAAUUUGUUUUUUCGAAAGUCUCCCUCGUGCUAAGUUGUUUUACAAGGAAGAUACCCCAUAUAUUUCACAAACAUGCGAGCAGUGUAGUGCCUCGAGCCUGUUGCUUCCACUGCGUAGGCCAGGGAUAGAUCCCAAGGAUCAGCUGAUUUUCCAUCACCUUUUUCUCACGUACCUCCUCCCGAGUGCGUGUUCAUGGGCCGGCCCGCAGGGCAUGACGCCCCUUUUUUCAUUUCGUCUCUUUUCUUUUCUUUUCUCAUUUAUUUUUUGUUUUUCCGUCUUUAAAUUUAUUCUAGAUUUCUAAAUUUCAAAAUGUUACGAAUUUUGAAAAACAUGUUCGAGAAAUUAUAAAAUGUUUGUGAAUUCAAAAAUGUGUGGGAAAUCAUAAAUUUUUGCAGUUUCUAAAAAUAUAGUGAUUUUUCAAAACUGUUCACCAAUUAUUAAAAAAUACAAUUUGGAAAAAAAUGUUCGGAAAUAAAACCAUGUUCAUGAUUUUGGAAAAAUAAUCGUGUAUUAAAAAAAAUCGUGAAACUGACAAAAAUGUCCAUGGAAUUUUAGAAAAUAUUUAAAAAAAUCCAUUUUCUCUCUUUUUCUUUUCUCAUUUCUUUUUUUGUUUUUUUUGUUUAAAUUAAUUCGACAUUUCUAAAUUUCAAAACAUUACAAAUUUGGAAAAACAUGUUCAAGAAAUUAUAAAAUGUUUGUGAAUUCAAAAAUGUGUAAGAAAUCAUAAAAUUUUCGUAGUUUCUAAAAAUAUUAGUGAUUUUACAAAAAUGAUCACCAAUUAUUAAAAAAUACAAUUGGUGAAAAAUGUCGGGAAAUAAAACCAUGUUCAUGAUUUUGAAAAAAAAAUCGUGUAUUCAAAACAAAUUUGUGAAUCUGGAAAAAAAUGUCCAUGAAAUUUUAUAAAAUAUUAAAAAAACCUUAAAAAUGCGAGUUUGUAGUCGAUGAGAUUUGUUUUUAAAGUUUUUAAAGUGUGUCAUGCAGUGGCAAGCUCAUUGCCUUGGGAUUUACCAUAUCGAAUACAUUGUAAUCACGUGGAGUCCAUCAUCAGCGAGAGUGGGAAGAAAGAUAAGUGGCAACAUGACGAGUCACUGUGUUAAAAUAGAUGACGCUCAUAUGUCAGGGUAUUGAGUCAUACUUAUUUGGCUAGCAUGUAUAUUUUUUCUCUCCCGUUGCAAUGCACAGGCAUAUCUGCUAGUUACCCUAGUUAUAAUAUAAAAAUAGUAAGCAAGAAAAAAAUUGAGACGUGUGACCACACCUCGGGCACGCACAUGAUCCUUUUGUUGUGUUCAUGUUGACAAACAAUUAGAAUGUUAAAUUGUUAGUUGAAUGUAACAAAAUAUGUAGAAUGCUUAGAAUUACUAAAAUAACUCAUAUAAUUGUAUAGAAUUACAAAAAAUAUAUCUAAAAAUGGAACAAUAUAUAAAUUUCAUUAAAAAGAUUAGCAUGACCUUUGCUCAAAGUGGGACAUAUUGGGUGCUAGAAUUUUAGGGAACAUUGAUGAUUCAACAUUUCGCCAAAACAUUGGCACUCAUGUAUAUUUCCUAAAAUAGAACACACGCAACAUGAAAUUCAUUGUGAGCAACAAAUUGUUUCCUCAGCUCGAUGACAAAAAAUCACACAUACAGUUCAUAUUGUCGGCUCAGUAGCCGGUUGCACAUCCUAUUCGAUGAUCCAAAAUCUUAGCAAGAAGACCAGAAGAAAUACCUCAUCCAAUACAAAAAUUACAAGUCAACUAAUGUCGCUUAGCCAGGCGAUGCAGCUUAUAUUUUCUCGACUGUUGGUGAUGGUCCAAUCGCUCCCUCCCUCCUGAGUUAAAGAAACCACACGGGAGCAAAACAAGUGGGUCUACCAUCUACAACUACAAUCGGUUCUAUCUUCUUUAGCUUCCUCUUCUCCCUUCCCUCUUCUUUCUUCAUGUCCCCUCUUCCUCUCUUCUUCUCUUCUAUCCUAUUUUCUUUCCCCCUUCUCUCUUCCCUCUUAUUUUGUUCUCUCUUUCUCCCUUUCUUUCUACAUUCCUUCUCUCUUUUUCUCUUCUUUCUUCCUAAAACUAAAACCCAAACCAACUAAUUAAGCUAAGAAAUAUUGAUAUCCUACUAACCGAUAGAUAACUAAGUUUAUCUCUUCUUUCUAAAUUUAUUUGCUAAAACUAACUAAAGAAAAUAACUAAAUUUUCUUUGGUAGAAUAGAAACUAAUUAACUAAAGCUAAGAAACCUAAAGAAAACAGAGAGAGGGUGAGGAAGAAGGGAGGCAUAAUGGGCCGGGAGGAGCUGCUAUGGUCGGCGAGAAGUGAUUGGGUGACGGAGCUGUAGGGGCGGAGAGGGUGUGAAGGUUGGGUGGUGGAGCGCGGCGUCGGGUGAUGGAGUACCAGCAUUGGGUGAUGAUCAAAAUUGGUUGGUAAGGAGACCAACGGCCAGCGACAUAAAUACUAGGGCGUGUGGGCUUGGGAAACUUUUCACCAAGUCUCGUCUGAGGUUGUUUUGUAUUCGCACGUUACCAGGGGCAUGUUGAGCUAGGCCGCAUGCCACUAGUAACAUCAUGUUAGUGGCGUGCUGGCUCGGUCGGCACGCCACAAAUUUUGUUUCUAGUUUUUAGCAUAUUUUAGUGUUGUAGGGAUAUGAUUAUGUUAUAACAUUUUCAUAGAAUGGAUAUGUAACAUUUAAAGUUCUAUAUAAAAAUUGAACUACAUAACUAUAAGAUAAUAAUCUUUAGGUUUAUUAUUCUAUAUUUAAAGCAAUGAAUAUAGUUUACAUAUUUAAAAGAUAUAAUUCAAAUUUGAACAAGUACAUUAUAAACUGAUCCAGUUUGCUAGAAAAAACAUAUUUAAGUUUGUGAGUCUAUAAUUAAAUGUUAUGAAAGAAAAUAUUAUAGCAUUGAAACAUCUGUAUAAGAAAAUUCAAACUUUAGAUUUGUAGUGAAUGGUUUGUGACUUUAAAUAAAAAUGUAAAUGUGGUCUAAAAAUAAUGAAACUUCGCGCGGUGAUAUUAUAUGACCUCUAGCAGCGGUAGUCAUUAUCCAGGGAAGAAUCAAAGUUUAAAAGGAAAAGUUUACAAGUUUGAGAGAGAUUUAAUAGUUAUGUUCCUUGUAAAUUGUUUUAUAAAUUGACCAUGGACCAUUUCAAGUUCCAUGUAAAUUUGGUAUUUUUUUAGGAUUAGUUUGCUAUUUGUAGAGACUUAAAUGUAAUUUCUUACUAGUACACGCCACUAGUAUUGUUAUUAGUGGUGUGUGACAUAUCUGACACGCCACUAGUUAUAUUUGGGCUACUUAGACUAAUUUGAGUGUCUUAGGGGUAGGAUUAUGUGCCAUCUAGUAUACAUUCAGUAAACACCAUUAAAGCUUUCAUGUACAUAAUUGGCCUUUUUAGUGUUAGUUCCACGUAAAUUAAAUUGACUGGAAAUUAAAUAUGGAAAAUAGUAAAGAUACAAGGGUUUAUGAAUCUGCUCUAAGCUUAAACACUAAGCUAGAAGGAUCUAAUCCCUCUCAAUUAUCUGUACCAUGAGGUUUCUUCUUAGUUGCAGAUGGAGUGCCGCAAGAGAGGGCUUAGCGGAGCAGCUCAUUGUGCACUAGUAGAAAACAGGGCAUCAGUCCUGGUUCCAGAGGGCUUUUAGACCCGGUUCUGCAACCGAGACAAAAUUAUCAGGACUAAUGCCAAUUACUUUUAGUCUCAGUUGGCUUACGAACCGGGACUAAAGGAGCUCCACGUGGCCGCUGUGGGGUGCCCAGGCAGGGAAAGUUCAGGGGCCGGACACAUGGGGGAGAAAAUUCCCAUGGGAGCUGACGGCGGGGGCCAUCCUGAAUUCGGCUCCCAGCCGGAUGCAAUUCCGGAGACCAAUACGGCUCCAGAAUCAAGCAGGCAGCCUCUCUCAGCUGGAGGGGGCAUGCCUGUUUCACCGGCAACCUCUGUCCAACCAUAGGUGUCGGAUGCUUUGUUGGUGGCGCUGAAGAGCGCCUCCAUCGUCGAUGAACAUCGUGCCCUUAUGGGUGCGGUGAUUGAGAAGAUUUAGUCUGCUGAGAGUGGACUGAAUGAAGCCUGUAUCAGCCUUAUAAAGGUGUUGAGGUAUGUUUAUGAGGUUUCGAAGAGUGUCAUGGUAUGGAUAGUAGCCCCUGAUACACUGUUCGGUGAAAGAAAGAACCGGACAGGGGAUCAAAUUGUAUGUUUGCAGGAAGACUCAUUGGAUGACAUCUAUUUCUCUUCUGUUAUAAGCAGGCGUCUAUAGCGGUUGCUGCCUCUCAUACUGCGGAGGUCUCUGGACUGAAUCAAAGUCUGGAGCGGGCCAAAGAAGAACUUGGCCAGUUGAAAAUGCAUUUGGGAGAUAAACAAGGUAUGCGCUAGUCUUGUUCACGUUUAUUGCGAAUGAACUUUCAGUAUGAUGAAAUAUGUUUCAUGAUUUGCGCUAGGGAUGAUGACCGAAGUCGAGGCUCUUAAGAAAGCUGUGGCCGAGGCCGAGAAAAAGGCAACCACAGAGCAGGCUCUUCGUGAGAAGCACGAGGCCAGGGUUAUUAAAGCUGAGCAGGAGCUGCAAGGGGUCGUGAAGAAAUGCGAGACCUUGGAGCAGAGUUUAACGGAGAAAGAAUCCGAACUCACCAAGGCGCAUCAGGCCACGAGCGAAGCCCGGGGGGAAACCCAAAGCGCCCUGCAGGGGAUCCAAGAGGCGGGGAAGAUCGCGGCGGGUAAGGCUUUUUCCAUGUAAAGCAAGUAUUUGAGGAGACAAUUAUAUUUCUAAUUUUGAAUUCGGAUUUCUCAGGGGUAUUUGCCAAGCUGCCCCGGAGCAUAUCGGAUGCCGCCCAAUUCUACCGCGCCGAAGAAAGGAACACUGCGGAUAAGCUCUUCUGGUCGCAGUAUUUGGCACCGAAUUAUCCGGUGCCUUUUGUCGAUCAACUGAAACAGCUGAUCGAACUGCAUAAGGCGGCGGAACUAGCCAUGAAGGAUCUGAUUAUCCGGCUAUGGCCCGCCAGCCGAUUCCAAGCAGCUACUUCGGGCUCGUGAAGCAGCUUGUGAGUGCCUGCCCUCGACUUGAUGUCAUCAAGCGGUCAGUCUGUAUAGAGGGUACGCGAAUGGCCUUCGCCCACGCAAAGGUGCACUGGGGGAAGAUGGAUGCUGAAAACCUGAUGACCGUAGGACCGCCAGAGGGGAAGGAGCACCGCAAGCCCGAAUUAUAUUAUGAGAGUGUCUAGAAAGGAUCCUGCCUUGCAGCGGAGCUAUGUACCAAGGACAUUAUAUUUCCAUGAAUGCAAAUCAUGUUGUCCUUUGCAAUGUCUGAACAAGGUCAUUUAUAUUAUUUAUUGCCUGUUAUAUAAAAGUUUAUCCUCCUGCGCGGCCGUUUUAUAUAUUAAUCCUGAGAGUUGGCCAGUCGUCGGCUUCUGCCCCCACGUAAGAAGUAUGGGGGUGUUCGGGAUAGACCUGAUCACUCUUUAUCCCAGUUUUGGGUCCUUCGAAGGAGGUGUUCAGCACAACGAACCAGGCAAUCGGACUAUAGGGCUUUAUCGCUCUCACUUAGCCAUAGGAGCUUUAGGAAGGUAGGCGCAACCCCUGGUGUUCGGAAGACCGCACAAGGGGCUCUAUAAGCACCUGAUCGGAAGAAAAACUCGAUCCAUCGCACGCUGCAUUGGUUAUGGAAUUAUGCGGGAGAAAUCCUUAAAGAUUUUACAACCUCUCGAACAGCUGACCAGCUCUCGCCGUAUCAUGACAGUCAGUUUUCGGCUUUCUCUACUGAGGUGCUCGUCCGGAAGAACCGGGACACAAUCGCAGUAGUUCUCCUAGUGCUACCUUAGCCGAUAUAGCGUAACGUAAGGUACUAAAACGUGGGAGCCGGGCAAACCCAACAAUUGACCCAAGACAUGACUCGGAGCUGAUGCAUAUAAUGAUAUGGGUUCGGGGUGCCGAACUUCCGUGAAGGUGUUCGGACUUUAUUGCCGUAUUAUGGGCAAAACGAAGCCCCUGGCAUAUUUGAAGGCAUAUCGUGGUGUAUGGAUGCCACUUAACAAAAGAAUUUUUAAUAAGAAAUAACAACAGAGAAGCGUCAUAUGAAUCCAUAUGUUGUAUUUGAAUAGUACGUCGAUGCGUAUAAGUACAGGUAAUGUGAUAAAAAGGAAAUAUGACUGUGGAACCUGCUGAGGCCAGGGGGAAGAAGCUGUGUGCGGAUCCGGAGUAUAGUCGGAUGGUCAUCGUGGGGAAUACCUAAGGAUUCCCUUGCGCAUUCAAGCUACCUCCAUAUCACCCGUCCUGGUCGGCGCAAAGGUGAACCUGCGAAGGAAAUGUAAGAAAUGUUUGCGUGCCGGAGAGCGGUUGAGCCGCUGAGUGCGGCCUGUCCUGGCCUUCGCCGGAGUGUUUAAUUGAGCUUUGGACGAGCCGGGCUAUCCUGCCGCGAAGUAGUUCGUAGUCCUUUGACGGUGUCCGGGAGCCUGGUCGUCGACUCGAGGUUCGGCUGCAAGGUGCUGCUCGUUGCUUCUGCUGUUAAGGCAGGGGUGUACUCGUUGGUGCCGAAGUAAAGUUCGUCCUUGCCAUUAACCAUGAUGACGCCGCGUGGACCGGGUAUUUUGAGCUUACGGUAGGCAUAAUGUGGCACCACGUUGAAUCGAGCGAACGCGGUUCGUCCGAGCGGUGCUUGAAAAUCACUGCGGAAAGGGACGAUUUUGAAGAUUAACUCUUCGGUACGGUAAUUGUCUGGUGAUCCGAAGACUACCUCAAGGGCGAUGGAGCCUGUACAGCUGCCUUCCACACCUGGUAUAAUGCCUCUGAAAGUGGCUUUAGUGGGUUUGAUCACCGAAUGAUCGAUGCCCAUCUUGCGUACUGUGUCCUGGUAAAGCAGGUUUAGACUGCUGCCUCCGUCCAUAAGGACUCGUGUGAGGUGGAACCCGUCAAUUAUUGGGUCGAGGACUAGUGCAGCUGGAUUGCCCUGAUUGGCGUUAACCGGAUGAUCCGUGCGGUUGAAGGUGACCGGCCCUAGUUUAUAUUGUGGGACGACUAGUUCCGUUAAGUCGGCAUCCCUAAGGGUGCGUAUCCGGUCCGGAUUGGGAAUUUGGGUGGAUUUACCACAUUCACCGUUUGGAUUUGCGGGGAAAAUUUCUUUUGCCCUCCUGUGUUCGGUGAUCUGGGCUCUUCGUCGCCAUCAUCACUUUGAGACCACCCUUCUCCGUUUUUGGCGCCUGCCCUGCCGGCUUGUUUGAAGACCCAGCAUUCUCUGUUGGUAUGGGUGGCUGGCGUUCCUGGGGUGCCAUGAAUUUGGCAUUGGCGAUCGAGUAUGCGGUCCAGACUGGAUGGACCCGAAUUGUUAUUUUUGAGUGGCCCUUUCCGCUGACCGGACUUUAAGCCACUAAACCCGGCAUUAACUGUCGUAUCUUCGGCGUUUUCACCAUAUUUGCGGCGCUUGUGUUUGUUGCGUCGUGGUUUGCCGUUGCUAUCCCUGGCCUCUGAUGUGCCAGGUUUGCUUGCUGUAUUGUGACUACGAGCCAACCGGCUAUCUUCGCCCACCCAAAAGCGAGUCAUAAGUGUCGUGAGGGCUGGCAUGGAUUUUGGCUUCUCUUGGCCGAGGUGCCGGGCGAGCCACUCGUCACGGAUGUUAUGCUUAAAUGCCGCUAAGGCCUCUGCAUCCGGACAGUCGACAAUUUGGUUCUUCUUAGUUAGGAACCGGGUCCAAAGUUUCCUGGCCGAUUCCCCCGGCUGCUGAGUUAUGUGACUUAAAUCGUCAGCAUCCGGCGGUCGCACAUAAGUGCCCUGGAAAUUGUCCAGGAAUGCAUCUGCCAGGCUCUCCCAACUUCCGAUGGUGUUUGCCGGCAAGCUAUUCAGCCAAUGUCGAGCCGACCCUUUGAGUUUUAGCGGGAGAUACUUGGUGGCGUGUAGAUCAUCCCCGCGGGCCAUGUGAAUGUGGAGGAAGAAGUCUUCUAUCCAUACCGCGGGGUCUGUAGUACCAUCAUAUGAUUCGAUGUUUACGGGUUUGAAACCUUCUGGGAAUUCGUGAUCCAUUACUUCAUCAGUGAAGCAUAGGGGGUGUGUGGCACCUCUGUGUUGGGCUAUGUCGCGACGCAGUUCAUACGAGUCUUGCCUGCUGUAUUCGGCCCGGCCGGAUUUGCUUUUAGUGUAUCCGGCGUGAUGAUCGUCGUCACGCAUUUGGGUGUGACCCCGUGAUCCGUAGAUCGAUCUUGUAUGUCCUGCUUUGUUUUCCAAUGCGUUUCGCAGGUCCUGCGUGUUGCCCGGGCCUUGGUAUUUUUGUUUGAAUGGCGGCGGGGUGCGGGCUGGACUUCGGGCUGGUAUGCCCCUCUGUCUCGGCCACGAGGCGGCUGAUCAGCCGCAUCAUACGCUGGUAAUGUAGGUUUUAAUGCUUCCUCCUCGAGUUGGGGUAGCAACCUGCACUUUGGGUAACUCUUGGUUGGGCGCUUGAGUUUGUAUUCCUCGGCCGCCAGGACUUCAAUCCAUCUAUCCGCUAGCAGAUCUUGAUCAGCUCGAAGCUGUUGUUGCUUUUUCUUCAGGCUGUUUGCUGUGGCUAUAAGCCGGCGCUUGAAGCGCUCCUGCUCGACGGGAUCCUCAGGCAUGAUAAAUUCUUCGUCGCCGAGGCUCACCUCGUCUUCGGAGAGAGGCAUGUAAUUGUCAUCCUCUGAUUCUCCGUCUACUGCCUGUUCCGAAGGGCUAGCUUGUUCAUCCUCCCGCUCGAGGUCUGGCUGGAGGGGAUUGUCGUCGUCUUCGGCACUAUCCGGAGCGUUAUUGUCUCUUGUGCCAGUAUCGCUACUUUUGCUAUGGCGGGACUUAGAGCGGCGCCGCUGACGUCGGUGCUUGGAUUGCUUCUUGGAGGGAUUAUCCUCCAUUGCCUUACCGCCAUUGCCUUCUUUGGGGGUGUCCACCAUGUAUAUAUCAUAUGAUGAGGUGGCAGUCCAGUGCCCUGUGGGCGGUGGUUCCUGUUCGUCUCCUGCAUCGUCGUCCAUACCGUCGAUGUCUUCGGAGCCGAAAUCGAGCAUGUCGGUUAAAUCGUCGACAGUGGCUACUAAGUAGGUGUUGGGUGGGGAGCGAAUUUCUUCGUCGUACGCAUCCCAUUCUAGCCGGACAUAGUUCGGCCAAGGGUCUCCUGACAAGGAGAGAGAUCUCAAUGAGUUUAGCAUGUCGCCCAGUGGUGAGUGCUGAAAGAUAACCGCGGAGGAAAACUCCAUAAUCGGUGCCCAGUCCGAUUCGAUCGGCACGGACGCAUGCGGCUCAGAGCCCGUGGCCGGGGACGAAUCCAAGUGUCCGGCAACACGGGUCUCAUAGGAAGUGAAGUUAGCAUUUGCCGUUGAGUGCGCGGCCUUCGUGGCGGGGUCCAUCCACCCGUCCUCGGACGGCGCAAUCUGCUCCGGAUUGAGGGCCGGAGUAGUCGCAGGUGUGAUCUCUCGAACACUGUCCGCGGCAGGGCUAAGUCAUGCUCGUCAUGACUGUGCGGCGCACCUGACAUGGGCUCGAAUCCGUCGAAGAUCAAGUCUCCGCGGAUGUCGGCAGUAUAGUUCACGUUUCCAAACCUGACCUGAUGGCCAGGGGCGUAGCUCUCGAUCUGCUCCAGAUGGCCAAGCGAGUUGGCCCGCAGUACGAAGCUGCCGAAUACGAAGAUCUGUCCGGGGAGGAAAACCUCACCCUGGAUCACAUCGUUGGCGGUGAUUGAAGGAGCCAUCAAGCCUUUAUCGUGACAGCACAGUGGAACUCUCAAUGAAAGCACCAAUGUCGGUGUCAAAACAGGCGGAUCUCGGGUAGGGGGUCCCGAACUGUGCGUCUAAGGCGGAUGGUAACAGGAGGCGGGGGACACGAUGUUUACCCAGGUUCGGGCCCUCUCGAUGGAGGUAAUACCCUACUUCCUGCUUGAUUGAUCUUGAUGAUAUGAGUAUUACAAGAGUUGAUCUACCACGAGAUCGUAGAGGCUAAACCCUAGAAGCUAGCCUAUGGUAUGAUUGUUCUCGUCCUACGGACUAAACCCUCCGGUUUAUAUAGACACUGGAGGGGCUAGGGUUACACAGAGUCGGUUACAAGGGAGGAGAUCUACAUAUCCGAAUUGCCAAGCUUGCCUUCCACGCAAAGGAGAGUCCCACCCGGACACGGGACGAAGUCUUCAACCUUGUAUCUUCAUAGUCCAACAGUCCGGUCAAAGUAUAUAGUCCGACUGUCUGAGGACGCCCUAAUCCAGGACUCCCGCAAUCAUCAUCGGCCUCAGCCUCGCCCUCGGUCUCCACGUCAGCAGCAGUAGAUGGACCCCCAGAUUUAGGAGCCGGGGUGCCCCAAUUGUCCUUCUUCCUCGGACGCGUGAUCUCAUGAGAAACCAAUUCUCCAGUUUGCAGCAUAACCUUGGGAUAGACAUGAGCCCAGGCCUUCUCGAUGAGCAACAUGAUGAACGGACCAUAGAUCGGGCACUUGCGCUCAGAGAUGGCAGAUAGAAGUUCAGACCACAUAACAUGAGAAAUGUCCAGGGACUCGCCAGAGUUUGUUUCCUUCUCAUGCUGGCAGAAGAGAAGCAUGUCCACGAGAUAGGAGUGGACCAUAUCCAGAUUCCCGAUACGAGGGAAGAGAGUCUCUCGGAAGACGCAAUGAAGGAUGUCCAGAAAGGCAGGCAGCUCAUAGGUUUCCUUCUCAGUCACGGAGUGAAUCUUCACAGAACAGUAGGGCCAGAGGGCUUGCUUGUGAGUGGAGGUUGCAUUGCGGUGAGGGCGGAAGCCGACUGGAGUCUCAAGCCCGUGAUCUUCCACCCCAAGUAACUCCAUGAAGGCCUUCCACUUGACAGAAAGCAACUUGCCAUUUGUCAUCCAAGUCAGAGUCCUUUGUUCAUCAGUUCCAAGAUGGACAGUGGCAUAGAAUUGAGCCACCAAAUCUGCAUCGAAGUCCUUGUUGAACUACGUGAUUCUGAGAAUGUUCAGCUAAGAGCACAUCUGAAGGGCUUCGCCAAAGUACUCAGGGUCCUUUUCCAUAGCAUCCGUGUCUAUGGAAUGUACAUCAACAUAGAGAUUCUUCUUAGCCUUGAUCACAUCAAAGAAGAUGGCAAACUGAAAGCGGUUCCAGAACGGGCGGUUGACCAAAGUGGGUUCUUGGUCUUCCGCAUAGGGGUUGCGGCGAUGCUUUUCCCAGAAUUCCUUGGCAGUCAUCUCAGUCAUAGUCUUGCUCCUUGGCUUCGGCCUGUUGGUGGACUUCUUCUUGAGUUGAGGCGGAGGUGGAGCACUUGAGGAAGCACCCGCUGACUCAGAGGUGCGGUAGCGCUUUGACGUUGCACGUCCGGGGUUGACACGGCGGACUUGCUGCUCAGGAUGUUCAUCACCUGGAACCAAACACACGAGCAGAAGAACCAACACGAAAGAAAUAGCAUAAGCCUCCAAACAAAACAACAUGGAUCAAAAAGUGGUAGGAAAUGAUGGAAUUGGGCAUCCAGCGGUAGUACCGCGACCCAACCGCGGCAGUACCGCUCGAGCGGUAGUACCGUGCAAGAUGAGUGGUAGUACCGCUCUAGACGGGGAACGGCGGUUCCCUACUACCGUGGACAGAUCCGGCACUACCGGGGAUGCCUAAUUCAAAAAUAAACCUACCAAACAUCAAUCCAACCGGCCUAGAUGCCAUCUCCAUCCUACUCAAGCCUCGACUUAGCCAAACAACAAGAAAAGCAAUGCCUAUUGCCCCUAACAACUAGAUGUGAGAUCUAGGCAAAGAGAGAACGGGAACGGGGGCAAUACCGGCAUCCAUGGCAAGAGGACGCGGUGGGGAUCGACUCCACCGGAGGAACUGGAGAGGGACGGCACAUAAACAGUGGCCGGCCGAAGCCCUUCUGCGGCGAAACAUCGCUGGAGCGACGAAGAGGACGAGCCAGUGGAGAGAAUGGGUAUGGGGGAGAAAAGCAACUCCCCCUGCCCCAACAUAACCCCCCAUUUCCCACCCCAUAGCGGUAGUACCGCUGGGGUGGGAGGUAGUACCGCUUGAUGAUCAUCAGCGGUAGUACCGCGCACCCAGCGGUAGUACCGCCCGGCCACAAAAAGACUGGCCAAAAAGGCUUGCUCAAGAAAAGAAACCGACUCGAAAACGAGAGCAAACACACACGCAAAACCAACACAAAGAGGACGAGAAAAACACACCUCUCCAAGAGAGGGCGAUGGCCGAGGCCACCUAUGUUUGAGUCUGGAGGUAUGGCGCCGCGAAGAUUUUAACCUUGGGCCCAUGACCAAAACUCCUCUUUGAAGCACAAGUACCAUAAAAAAUGGCUAAUGUGAAAGAGUUUGAUUAGUUUAUGCAUAAUGGGGGGAGGGAAAGUUCAUUGAGAGAUCAACACUCCCCCUAUGUCUAUGCCUACAUCUAAACUAGACAUCAAGUUGAGUGUGGUGGGGUGUGCAAGGGUUCAAGUCACAUUGCUCGAAUCAAUGAUAUUUAGCUCAUGCCUUAACUCGCGAAAUCUUGCUUCAUCCAAGGGCUUCAUGAAAAUAUCUGCAAGGUUAUCAUGAGUGUUGACGUAGUUGAGCUCGAUCUCCCCUCGCCUAAUGUGAUCCCGGAUGAAGUGAUACUGAAUCUCAAUAUGCUUCGUCUUGAAGUGUUGCACCGGGUUGAGAGAAAUCUUGAUGGCACUUUCAUUGUCACACCAAAGAGGCACUUUGUCACAAAUGACACUGUAAUCCUUUAAAGUUUGCCUCAUCCAAAGAAGUUGUGCACAACAACUACCGGCCGCCACAUACUCUGCUUCGGUGGACGAGAGAGACACACAACUUUGUUUGUUGGAAAACCAACUCACCAAAGAGCAACCAAGAAAUUGGCACCCUCCGGAAGUGGACUUCCUAUCCACUUUGUCUCCCACCCAAUCGGAGUCCGAAUAUCCUACAAGCUUGAAGUUUGCUCCUCUUGGGUACCAUAAGCCAAAGUUUGGGGUAUGAGCCAAAUAUCGAAAGAUUCGCUUGACCGCCACAAAGUGGCUUUCCUUAGGUGCGGUUUGAAACCGUGCACAAAUUCCCACACUCAACAUGAUAUCCGGUCUAGAUGCACAAAGGUAAAGCAAGGAGCCAAUCAUGGAGCGAUAUACCUUUUGAUCCACCGCUUUACCAUUGGGAUCAAUGUCAGGUUGGCACUUGGUGGGCAUUGGAGUGGAAGUAGGCUUGACAUCACUUAGCUUGAAUCUCUUUAGCAUGUCUUGAGUGUAUUUGGCUUGGUUGAUGAAGGUUCCUUCUCUUCUUUGUUUGACUUCGAAUCCAAGGAAGAACUUCAACUCUCCCAUCGAAGACAUCUUGAACUUAGAGGUCAUGAGAGCGGCAAAUUCCUCAUUGAAAGCUUUGUUAGGGGAACCAAAGAUAAUAUCAUCAACAUAUAGUUGGCACACAAACAACUCCCCUUUGACCUUCUUAGUAAAAAGGGUGGGGUCGAUUAGCCCAACUUCAAAUCCACGGUCUUGUAACAACUCGGUAAGGUGGUCAUACCACGCACGUGGGGCUUGUUUAAGGCCAUAGAGUGCCUUAUCGAGUUGAUACACAUGAUCGGGAAAGUAGGGAUCCUCGAACCCGAGGGGGUUGCUUGACAUAUACCAACUCAUUAAUAGGACCAUUAAGAAAAGCACUUUUAACAUCCAUUUGUUGCAACUUAAAGUUGUGAUGAGAAGCAUAAGCAAUCAACAAACGAAUGGAUUUAAGGCGAGCAACGGGAGCAAAGGUUUCACCCUAGUCGAUACCCUCGACUUGGGAGUAGCCUUGUGCCACCAAUCGUGCCUUGUUGCGAACGAUGGUCCCAUGAGCAUCUUGCUUGUUCUUGAAUAUCCACUUGGUUCCAAUGACAUUGUGGUUCUCCAUUGGCCUUGGCACCAAUCUCCACACCUUGUUGUACUCGAAGUUGUUGAGCUCUUCAUGCAUGGCAUUAAGCCAAUCCGGAUCUUCGAGCGCCUCAUAUACCUUUUGGGGUUCAACACAAGAGACAAACGCGUGAUGUUCACAAUAGUUUGCCAAUUGUCUACGAGUGCUUACCCCCUUUUGAAUGCUUCCAAGCACAUUCUUCAUGAGAUGACCCUUGGUGGAGAUCUUGGAAGCAAUCUUGGUGGCACGACGCUCCAAUUCCUCCUCGGGGGUGAGUCGAGGAGCGGUCACUUGAUCAUCUUGAGCGUCGUCUUGAGCUUGUUCUUGAUCUCGAGGAAGCUCUUGAUCUUGAACUUUCUCGGAGGAGAGAACUUGACCUUGGGUAUCACUUGAUGUUACAACACCGUCUUGGGAUUGAUCUUGCCCUUGGUCUUGUUCUUGAGGUGAGGGCCUUCACUUUGUUCUUCGGAAGCGUGUGGGCCUUGGGUUGGUGAUGGCUCCACUUGAGUGGAGCAUUGUCUUUCUCCUUCGGCCACAAGGGGUUCCUCAAUGGGUAGGAUAAAACCAACACCCAUUCUUCUUAUGGCUUGAGGAGGAAUUUCAUCACCUACAUCACAAGUGCCACUUUGCUCCACUUGGGAGCCAUUAUUCUCAUCAAACUCUACGUUACACGUCUCCUCAAUAAGCCCUGCGGACUUAUUGAGGACACGGUAAGCAUAAGAGUUUGUAGCAUAACCAACAAAUAUGCCCUCAUAAGCUCUAGCCUCAAAUUUAGACAAAUGGACACCUUUCUUGAGAAUGAAGCACUUACACCCGAACACCCGAAAGUACUUGAGGUUGGGCUUGUUACCGGUGAGUAUCUCAUAUGGAGUCUUGUUCAAGCCUUUGCGGAGAUAGAGACGAUUUGAUGCAUGACACGCGGUGUUGAUGGCUUCGGCCCAAAAGUUGUAUGGAGACUUGAACUCCGCCAUCAUGGUCCAUUCCGCAUCCAUCAACGUCCGGUUCUUCCUCUCCGCAACACCAUUUUGUUGAGGGGUGUAUGGUGCGGAAUAUUGAUGCUUGAUCCCCUCAUCACUAAGAAACUCAUCCAAGGUGUAGUUCUUGAACUCGGUGCCAUUGUCACUUCUUAUUGUCAAGAUCUUUGCAUUGUGUUGACGUUGGGCUUCAUUUGCAAAGUCAAUGACGGUUUGUUGGGUCUCGCUCUUCCUCUUGAAGAAAUAUACCCAAGUGAAUCUUGAAUAGUCAUCCACAAUCACCAAGCAAUACUUUCUACCCCCAAGACUAUCAAAGGAUGGAGGCCCAAAGAGAUCCAUAUGAAGGAGCUCCAAAGGCCUCUUCGAGUAAAUGAUAGUCGUGGGAGGGUGAGCCUUUUCAUGUAGCUUUCCUUCGAUACAAGCACUGCAAGCACGAUCUUUAGCAAAACUAACAUUCGUUAGUCCACGGACAUGGUCCCCCUUGAGAAGACUUUGCAAAGAUCUCAUAUUUACAUGGGCAAGACGGCGAUGCCAAAGCCAUCCCACGUCAACUUUAGCCAUUAGGCAUGUCGCGGUCUUAGUGGGUCACUCCGAAAAGUUAAUCACAUAGAGACCAUUCUCGACAUGCCCAACAAAGGCUACUUUAAGAGUCUUGCUCCACAAGAGGGCCACGGUAUCAAUAUCAAAGAAGGUGGCAAAGCCCAUGAGUGCAAGUUGACGAACGGAAAGUAAAUUGUAUGCAAGGGACUCAACAAGCAUGACCUUCUCGAUCGUGAGAUCAUGAGAAAUGACAACCUUGCCGAGUCCCAAUACCUUAGAAGACGAGGCAUCACCCCACUCAACAUUGGUGGGCAUAGAUGGAAUCUUGUGCACAUCCACCACCAAGUCCUUGCUUCCGGUCAUAUGAUUUGUAGCUCCACUAUUGAGCAAACAUGAUUCCCCACCGGAAGCAAACACCUACAAGAGAUCAAUGCUUGGUUUUAGGUACCCAUUUUGUAAUGGGUCCUUUGAUGUUAGUGACAAGGGUCUUAGGAACCCAAAUUGACCAUUCAAUGUACUCAUAAGGAGAACCAACAAAUUUGGCAUAAGCAUGCCCAUCACUAGCACGGCACAACACAUAAGAAGGGUUAAAGUCGCCGGCUUUGUUGGAAGGGGUGGCAUUGCCCUUCUUGACACCACCACCCUUCGCAUUGUUCUUAUUUUCCUUGGGAGCACCCUCUCCCUUCUUCACAAAAGUUUUCUUGAGAGGAGGAGGUCAUUUGGUCUUGUCAUUCUUCUUCUUGUUCCUGGGCUUGGGUGCAAACCCAAUCCCCUCCUUGGAUACAACUUCCUUUUGAUUACUCAAAAGGUCGUUGAGGCUCUUCUCACCUUGUAUGCACGACACAAGGCCCUUCUCAAGUUGCAUCUUCAACUUGGCAUUCUCCUCAAUAAGAUGCACAUGAUCACAACAUGGGUUAGUAGCAUUUGCAUUAUCAAUCAAAACCAUAUGAGGAAAGGUGGCUUUCUCCUUAGUUAGCUUCACUUGGAGUUGAUCAUGAGACUCUUUAAGACUAGCAUGAAUACCUUUCAAGGCUUUAUGGGCCUUGUCAAGUAUAUCAAACUCUUCCUUGAGUCUAGCAAGAUCAACUUCAAGUUUGGCCUUCUCGGAAUUUAGCACACGAGAUAAGACACAAGCAUGAUCAAGAUCUUUCUUUAAUUUAGCAUGAUCAUCGUUGUGUGACUCCUCAAGAGCCAAACGAAGACCACGCUCUUCCUCAAGAGCAUUAGAGAGAUCCGAUAUCUCAUCGGCAUAAUCAUGACUAUGCCCCUCCAUCUUAGAGAUGGUUUCUUCGUGAGCCUCGAUGGUGUCAUUGGCUUCACCAAGCUGUUCCAAGAGAGCAACAAAGUGUUUCUUGGACUUACCCUUGAGCUUACUCAUAAAGGAAUCAAACUCAUUUUCUUCCUCAUUAGGCCCCACAUUUUCAUCAAUGCAAUCCGUCAAGGAAGGAUUAGUAAUGAUGGUAGUUUUGAUGUUGGGAGUUACCUUGUUGGUUGCUUUAGCCAUGAGGCACUUGGCGAUGACGUUCUCAUUGGGUGAGUCGAAGAGGGACACCUGAGGAGUUGUUGCAAUGGCCACGGAGGCCAUAGCAACCGAGUCACCGCCUUCAUCAUCAUCAUCAUCCUCAUUGUACUCUUCUUGUGCAACCAACCCCUUGGGAGGAGUCCUCUUGGUGAAGUUGCUCUUGUUAGGGAAAGACUUGGCUUUGUCCUUUCGAAUGAGCUUGCCACCAUUGUAUUCUCUCUUCUCAUAAGGGCAUUCCGCAACAAAAUGGCUCAAAUUGCCACAAUUAUAGCAAGUACUCACGCGUUGCUUGACCUUGUUGCCACUUGAGUUGUUCUUGUUGAAGUUGGGCCUUGAGUUCUUCUUACUCCAAAAUUUCCGUGAAGCGAGAGCCAUGUGCUCAUGAUAAUCAUACUUUGUAUCUUCGGGGUUGCUCUCCUCUUCUUCCUCUUCUUCUUCUUCUUCCACACUAACCUUGGCUUUUAAUGCAAGGUUGGGCUUCUUUGCUCUUUGAGAACGUAGCACCGCAUUGUCGGCGGUCUUGUCUAGGAUGCUCAUAGCCACAAACUCAUCCAACAUUUCACUUGAGGACAAAGUGUGGAAGUCCGGCCUUUGACGAAUGACGGAGGACAUGACCCUGUGGUAAGGCAUCAUUGCCUUGAGGAAUUUGCGCUUGAUCCAAUUGUCAUCCGUUUCCUUGCUCCCAUGAUCUCGGAGUGAGACCGCGAGUUUGGUUACUCUCCGAUAAAGAUCACGAGGUUCUUGAUCUUCUUUCAUUGCAAACUCAUCGGCUUCAUCUUGCACCACUUCAUAGUUGGAGCGUUGAAUGCUUGCGCUGCCCUGGUAGAGGGAGACAACACACAGCCAUGCAUCUUUGGCCAAGGCGAAGGGCCGAAGAUGAGGGAGAUCUUCGGGUGGAAUUGCAUCUUGGAUGAUGAAGAGAUCAUUCUCAUUGAAUUGAUUAUCCGCGGCCUCUCGUGGGGUGAAGUUGCUUGGGUCAUGCGGAUAGAAACCUUCUUCAAUGAUUCUCCAAAGAUUAGUACUCACAUGAUUUAAAUGACGCUUAAAGCGAUAAACCCAAGAAUCAAAGUCCUCAUUUUUCACAAUCUUAGGGGGAGAACCUGCAUGAUUCAAAUGAGUAGAAGGAAUCGGUCCACCAUAAACAAGUGGAGGUUCCACAUGGGCAAAGAUGCCGGUGCCAAUAUUACCACUAGAGGAAGGACCCUUUUCACUAGUAGCUUCCCCCUUGUCGGAGUUAGCAUCCAUCACCUUGUUAGUGGGAUCACCCACUUUCAAUGGUGCGGUGCAUAGUUUAAGCCCUUCAAUGAAUUUAUUAAACAUGCUUUCAACCUCGGUCGUCAUGGAGGUCUUCAAUGUGUCCAAAGCCACAUUGAAUUCCUCACGAGAGAUCGCGGUUCCCCCAUCGGCCGUAGACGAGAUUGGAUUCACACCGGAGUGCUCCUCCGCACCAUCUAUGGUGUCAACCAUACUCUUCGGACGGCAAAGUCCUUAAUAAAGAGACGAGGCUCUGAUACCGCGAUGCGAGAUGCCGCGAUUCCACUAUUGGUGCCCUUGAAGGCAGCGAUCGGACCUUUACAAACAAGGUUGGGGCAAUCUCCACAACUUAAUUGGAGGCUCCCAACGAAACCACGAAGCUUCACCACAAUGGACUAUGGCUCCGCGGUGACCUCAACCGUCUAGGGUGCUCAAACACCCAAGAGUAACAAGAUCCGCUAGGGAUUAGUGGGGGGAAUCAAAUUUCUCUUGGUGGAAGUGUAGAUCGGGGCCUUCUCAACCAAUCCCGAGCAAAUCAACAAGUUUGAUUGGCUAGGGAGAGAGAUCGGGCGAAAAUGGAGCUUGGAGCAACAAUGGAGCUUUUGGGGGAAGAGGUGAGUCAACUUUGGAGAAGAAGACCCCCUUUUAUAGAGGGCGGAACAAUCCAACCGUUACCCCCCUAAACAGGCCCGCAGAGGGCGGUACUACCGCAGGGGGCAGCGGUACUACCGCUGGGACCAGCGGCACUACCUCUCGCCCUCGCGGUACUGCCGUGCAGUCUGGGAGGGCUAGCGAGUGAGCAGGAGUCAAACCCAGUGCGGUACUGCCGCGGUGGUAGGGCGAUACUACUGCUCAUGAGCGGCACUACCACUUCUACUGCCGCUGUGUGGUGCUGCACAAUCCGACACGAGAGGCGACCCCCUCGAGUCGACUCGGUAGGAGCCCGGUACCACAGCGGUACUACGGCUGAGGACCCACCGGCGGUACUACCGCUGCCGAGCGGUACUGCCGCAUGUGGUUCUUGGGCGGUACUACCGCUGGGCACCGCGGUACUACCGCUGGGACCAAAUCAAACUCAAAAAGAAAGGGAGUGAAACCUCCAUCGAAGCGGGAAGGCUCAGAGGGAGUGAAAAGGAUGUGUACUUGUUGAUUCCACCCUAGCCUUACCAAAGCAGACCCCCUCUUGAUAGUACGGUGACUCCUACGAAACAAGUCCACCAAAACAGAAACGAAAGAGCUACACCAUCUUGAUUAAAACUCUGAGGGGAAAGAAUCAUCUCGUGCCAAAGGAUGAAUCUCUGAAAUACUUAACGCACACGAUUAGUCCGCAAAAGCAUUGUCAUCAAUCACCAAAACACUUUAGGGAUAAAUAUGCCCUUAAAAACGGGUCUGCAACAUUCAGAUCCGUAUGUAUCUUGCAAAUCUCUAUGUCUCCCACCUGGACUUGAUCGCGGAUGGAAUUGAAGCGUCUCUUGAUGUGUUUGGUUCUCUUGUGAAAUCUGGAUUCCUUUGCCAAGGCAAUUGCACCAGUAUUGUCACAAAAGAUUUUCAUUGGACCCGAUGCACUAGGUAUGACACCUAGAUCGGAUAUGAACUCCUUCAUCCAGACUCCUUCAUUUGCCGCUUCCGAAGCAGCUAUGUACUCCGCUUCACACGUAAAUCCCGCCACGAUGCUUUGUUUAGAAUUUCUCCAACUGACAGCUCCACCGUUCAAUAUAAACAUGUAUCUGGUUUGCGAUUUAGAAUCGUCCGGAUCAGUGUCAAAGCUUGCAUCGACGUAACCAUUUACGAUGAGCUCUUUGUCACCUCCAUAAAUGAGAAACAUAUCCUUAGUCCUUUUCAGGUAUUUCAGGAUGUUCUUAACCGCUGUCCAGUGAUCCACCCCUGGAUUACUUUGGUACCUCCCUGCUAAACUAAUAGCAAGGCACACAUCAGGUCUGGUACACAGCAUUGCAUACAUGAUAGAGCCUAUGGAUAAAUCAUAGGGAACACUUUUCAUUUUCUCUCUAUCUUCUGCACUGGUCGGGCAUUGAGUCUUACUCAACUUCACACCUUGUAACACAGGAAAGAACCCUUUCUUUGCUUGAUCCAUUUUGAACUUCUUCAAAACUUUAUCAAGGUAUGUGCUUUGUGGAAGUCCAAUUAAGCGUCUUGAUCUAUCUCUAUAGAUCUUGAUGCCCAAUAUAUAAGAAGCUUCACCGAGGUCUUUCAUUGAAAAACUCUUAUUCAAGUAUCCUUUUAUGCUAUCCAGAAAUUCUAUAUCAUUUUCAAUCAACAAUAUGUCAUCCACAUAUAAUAUUAGAAAUGCUACAGAGCUCCGACUCACUUUCUUUUAAAUACAGGCUUCUCCAAAAGUCUGUAUAAAACCAUAUGCUUUGAUCACACUAUCAAAAUGUUUAUUCCAACUCCGAGAGGCUUGCACCAGUCCAUAAAUGGAUCGCUGGAGCUUGCAUACUUUGCUAGCACCUUUUGGAUCGACAAAACCUUCUGGUUGCAUCAUAUACAACUCUUCUUCUAGAAAUCCAUUCAGGAAUGCAGUUUUGACAUCCAUUUGCCAAAUUUCAUAAUCAUAAAAUGCGGCAAUUGCUAACAUGAUUCGGACAGACUUAAGCAUCGCUACGGGUGAGAAAGUCUCAUCGUAGUCAACCCCUUGAACUUGUCGAAAACCUUUUGCAACAAGUCGAGCUUUGUAGACAGUAACAUUACCGUAAGCGUCAGUCUUCUUCCUGACGAUCCAUUUAUUCUCGAUGGCUUGCCGAUCAUUGGGAAAGUCAACCAAAGUCCACACUUUUGUUCUCAUACAUGGAUCCCAUCUUAGAUUUCAUGGCCUCAAGCCAUUUUGCGGAAUUUGGGCUCAUCAUCGAUUCCUCGUAGUUCGUAGGUUCGUCAUGGUCAAGUAACAUGACCUCCAGAACAGGAUUACCGUACCACUCUGGUGUGGAUCUUACUCCGGUUGACCUACGAGGUUCCGUAGUAACUUGAUCUGAAGUUUCAUGAUCAUAAUCAUUAGCUUCCUCACUAAUUGUUGUAGGUGUCACAGGAACCGGUUUCUGUGAUGAACUACUCUCCAGUAGGGAGUAGAUACAGUUACCUCAUCAAGUUCUACUUUCCUCCCACUCACUUCUUUCGAGAGAAACUCCUUCUCUAGAAAGGGUCCAUUCUUAGCAACGAAUAUCUUGCCUUCCGAUCUGUGAUAGAAGGUGUACCCAACAGUCUCCUUUGGGUAUCCUAUGAAGACACAUUUCUCCGAUUUGGGUUCGAGCUUAUCAGGUUGAAGCUUUUUCACAUAAGCAUCGCAACCCCAAACUUUAAGAAACGACAACUUUGGUUUCUUGCCAAACCAUAGUUCAUAAGGCGUCGUCUCAACGGAUUUAGAUGGUGCCCUAUUUAACGUGAAUGCAGCUGCCUCUAAAGCAUAACCCCAAAAUGAUAGCAGUAAAUCGGUAAGAGACAUCAUAGAUCGCACCAUAUCUAGUAAAGUACGAUUACGAUGUUCGGACACACCAUUACGCUGUGGUGUUCCGGGUGGCGUGAGUUGCGGAACUAUUCCGCAUUGUUUCAAAUGAAUACCAAACUCGUAACUCAAAUAUUCUCCUCCACGAUCAGAUGGUAGAAACUUUAUUUUCUUGUUACGAUGAUUUUCUACUUCACUCUGAAAUUCUUUGAACUUUUCAAAUGUUUCAGACUUAUGUUUCAUUAAGUAGAUAUACCCAUAUCUGCUCAAAUCAUCUGUGAAGGUGAGAAAAUAACGAUACCCGCCGCGAGCCUCAACAUUCAUCGGACCACAUACAUCAGUAUGUAUGAUUUCCAACAGAUCUAUUGCUCGCUCCAUUGUUCCAGAGAACGGCGUUUUAGUCAUCUUGCCCAUGAGGCAUGGUUCGCAAGUACCAAGUGAUUCAUAAUCAAGUGAAUCCAAAAGUCCAUCAGAAUGGAGUUUCUUCAUGCGCUUUACACCAAUAUGACCUAAACGGCAGUGCCACAAAUAAGUUGCACUAUCAUUAACAACUCUGCAUCUUUUGGCUUCAACAUUAUGAAUAUGUGUAUCACUACUAUCGAGAUUCAUUAAAAAUAGACCACUCUUCAAGGGUGCAUGACCAUAAAAGAUAUUACUCAUAUAAAUAGAACAACCAUUAUUCUCAGAUUUAAAUGAAUAACCGUCUCGCAUCAAACAAGAUCCAGAUAUAAUGUUCAUGCUCAACGCUGGCACCAACUAACAAGUAUUCAGGUCUAAAACUAAUCCUGAAGGUAGAUGUAGAGGUAGCGUGCCGACGGCGAUCACAUGGACUUUGAAACCAUUUCCCACGCGCAUCGUCACCUCGUCCUUAGCCAAUCUUCGCUUAAUCUGUAGUCCCUGUUUCGAGUUGCAAAUAUUAGCAACAGAACCAGUAUCAAAUACCCAGGUGCUACUGCGAGCUUUAGUAAGGUACACAUCAAUAACAUGUAUAUCACAUAUACCUUUGUUCACCUUGCCAUCCUUCUUAUCCGCCAAAUACUUGGGGCAGUUCCGCUUCCAGUGGCCAGUCCCUUUGCAGUAGAAGCACUCAGUCUCAGGCUUAGGUCCAGACUUGGGUUUCUUCUCCUGAGCAGCAACUUGUUUUUUGUUCUUCUUGAAGUUCCCCUUCUUCUUCCCUUUACCCUUUUUCUUGAAACUGGUGGUCUUGUUGACCAUCAACACUUGAUGCUCCUUCUUGAUUUCUACCUCCGCAGCCUUUAGCAUUGCGAAGAGCUCGAGAAUUGUCUUAUCCAUCCCUUGCAUGUUAUAGUUCAUCACGAAGCUUUUGUAGCUUGGUGGCAGUGAUUGAAGAAUUCUGUCAAUGACACUAUCAUCUGGAAGAUUAACUCCCAGUUGAAUCAAGUGAUUGUUAUACCCAGACAUUUUGAGUAUAUGCUCACUGACAGAACUAUUCUCCUCCAUUUUGCAGCUGUAGAACUUAUUGGAGACUUCAUAUCUCUCAAUCUGGGCAUUUGCUUUAAAUAUUAACUUCAACUCCUGGAACAUCUCAUAUGCUCCAUGACGUUCAAAACAUCGUUGAAGUCCCGGUUCUAAGCCGUAAAGCAUGGCACACUGAACUGUCGAGUAGUCAUCAGCUUUGCUCUGCCAAACGUUCAUAACAUCUAGCGUUGCUCCUGCAGCGGGUUUGGCACCCAGCGGUGCUUCCAGGACGUAAUUCUUCUGUGCAGCAAUGAGGAUAAUCCUCAAGUUACGGACCCAGUCCGUGUAAUUGCUACCAUCAUCUUUCAACUUUGCUUUCUCAAGGAACGCAUUAAAAUUCAACGGAACAAUAGCACAAGCCAUCUAUCUACAACAACAUAGACAUGCAAAAUACUAUCAGGUACUAAGUUCAUGAUAAAUUAAAGUUUAAUUAAUCAAAUUACUUAAGAACUCCCACUUAGAUAGACAUCCCUCUAAUCAUCUAAGUGAUCACGUGAUCCAUAUCAACUAAACCAUGUCCGAUCAUCACGUGAGAUGGAGUAGUUUUCAAUGGUGAACAUCACUAUGUUGAUCAUAUCUACUAUAUGAUUCACGCUCGAUCUUUCGGUCUCCGUGUUCCGAGGCCAUAUCUGCAUAUGCUAGGCUCGUCAAGUUUAACCCGAGUAUUUCUGUGUGUGCAAAACUGGCUUGCACCCGUUGUAUAUGAACGUAGAGCUUAUCACACCCGAUCAUCACGUGGUGUCUCGGCACGACGAACUUUGGCAACGGUGCAUACUCAAGGAGAACACUUGUACCUUGAAAUUUAGUGAGAGAUCAUCUUAUAAUGCUACCGUCAAUCAAAGCAGAAUAAGAUGCAUAAAAGAUAAACAUCACAUGCAAUCAAUAUAAGUGAUAUGAUAUGGCCAUCAUCAUCUUGUGCCUUUGAUCUCCAUCUCCAAAGCACCAUCAUGAUCACCAUCGUCACCGGCGCGACACCUUGAUCUCCAUCAUAGCAUCGUUGUCGUCUCGCCAACUAUUGCUUCUACGACUAUCGCUACCGCUUAGUGAUAAAGUAAAGCAAUUACAGGGCGAUUGCACUGCAUAUAAUAAAGCGACAACCAUAUGGCUCCUGCCAGUUGCCGAUAACUCCGUUACAAAACAUGAUCAUCUCAUACAAUAAAAUAUAGCAUCAUGCCUUGACCAUUUCACAUCACAACAUGCCCUGCAAAAACAAGUUAGACGUCCUCUACUUUGUUCUUGCAAGUUUUACGUGGCUGCUACGGGCUGAGCAAGAACCAUUCUUACCUACGCAUCAAAACCACAACGAUAUUUCGUCAAGUUAGUGUUGGUUUAACCUUCAACAAGGACCGGGCGUAGUCACACUCGGUUCAACUAAAGUUGGAGAAACUGACACCUGCCAGCCACCUAUGUGCGAAGCACGUCGGUAGAACCAGUCUCGCGUAAGCGUACGCGUAAUGUCGGUCCGGGCCACUUCAUCCAACAAUACCGCUGAACCAAAGUAUGACAUGUUGGUAAGCAGUAUGACUUGUAUCGCCCACAACUCACUUGUGUUCUACUCGUGCAUAUAACAUCUAUGCAUAAACCUGGCUCGGAUGCCACUGUUGGGGAACGUGGUAAUUUCAAAAAAAAUCCUACGCACACGCAAGAUCAUGGUGAUGCAUAGCAACGAGAGGGGAGAGUGUUGUAUACGUACCCUCGUGGACCGAAAGCGGAAGCGUUAUGACAACGCGGUUGAUGUAGUCGUACGUCUUCACGAUCGACCGAUCCUCAGUACCGAACGUACGGCACCUCCGCGUUCAGCACACGUUCAGCUCGGCGACGUCCUGCGAACUCACGAUCCAGUAGAGCUUCGGGGAAGAGCUUCGUCAGCUCGACGGCGUGGUGACGGUGUUGAUGAAGUUACCGACGCAGGGCUUCGCCUAAGCACCGCUACGAUAUGACCGAGGUAUGGAUUAUGGUGGAGGGGGGCACCGCACACGGCUAAGAGAGAUCAUUGAUCAACUUGUGUGUUCUNNNNNNNNNNNNNNNNNNNNNNNNNNNNNNNNNNNNNNNNNNNNNNNNNNNNNNNNNNNNNNNNNNNNNNNNNNNNNNNNNNNNNNNNNNNNNNNNNNNNNNNNNNNNNNNNNNNNNNNNNNNNNNNNNNNNNNNNNNNNNNNNNNNNNNNNNNNNNNNNNNNNNNNNNNNNNNNNNNNNNNNNNNNNNNNNNNNNNNNNNNNNNNNNNNNNNNNNNNNNNNNNNNNNNNNNNNNNNNNNNNCCCGCCCCGCAUAUAAAGGAGCAAGGGGGGAGGCCGACCGGCCCUUGGGACGCGCCAAGGAGGGGGGAGUCCUCCUCCUAGUAGGAGUAGGACUCUCCUUUCCUAGUCCAACUAGGAAGAGGGAAGGGGAAGGAAAGAGAGGGAGAGGGAGAGGGAAAGAUUGGCCGCGCCCCCCUCCCCUAGUCCAAUUCGGACUCCUCAUGGGAGGGGCACGCCACCUCCUGGGCUGCUGCCCUCUCUCUCCCCUCAGGCCCACUAAGGCCCAAUACUUCCCCGGGGGGUUCCGGUAACCCCUCCAGCACUCCGGUUUUCUCUGAAACCACCCAGAACACUUCCGGUGUCCGAAUAUAGCCGUCCAAUAUAUCAAUCUUUAUGUCUCGACCAUUUCGAGACUCCUCAUCAUGUUCGUGAUCAUAUCCGGGACUCCGAACUACCUUCGGUACAUCAAAACACAUAAACUCAUAAUACCGAUCGUCACAGAACUUUAAGCGUGCGGACCCUACGGGUUCGAGAACUACGUAGACAUGACCGAGACACGUCUCUGGUCAGUAACCAAUAGCGGAACCUAGAUGCUCAUAUUGGUUCCUACAUAUUCUACGAAGAUCUUUAUCGGUCAAACCGCAUAACAACAUACGUUGUUCCCUUUGUCAUCGGUAUGUUACUUGCCCGAGAUACGAUCGUCGGUAUCUCAAUACCUAGCUCAAUCUCGUUACCGGCAAGUCUCUUUACUCGUUUUGUAAUGCAUCAUCCCGCAACUAACUCAUUAGUUGCAUUGCUUGCAAGGAUUAUAGUGAUGUGCAUUACCGAGAGGGCCCAGAGAUACCUCUCCGACAAUCGGAGUGACAAAUCCUAAUCUCGAUCUAUGCCAACUCAACAAGUACCAUCGGAGACACCUGUAGAGCACCUUUAUAAUUACCCAGUUAUGUUGUGAUGUUUGGUAGCGCACAAAGUGUUCCUCCGGUAAUCGGGAGUUGCAUAAUCUCAUAGUCAUAGGAACAUCUAUAAGUUAUGAAGAAAGCAAUAGCAGUAAACUAAAACGAUCAAGUGCUAAGCUAACGGAAUUGGUCAAGUCAAUCACAUCAUUCUCCUAAUGAUGUGAUCCCAUUUAUCAAAUGACAACUCAUGUCUAUGGUUUAGGAAACUUAACCAUCUUUGAUCAACGAGCUAGUCAAGUAGAGGCAUACUAGUGACACUCUGUUUGUCUAUGUAUUCACACAUGUAUUAUGUUUCCGGUUAAUACAAUUCUAGCAUGAAUAAUAAACAUUUAUCAUGAAAUAAGGAAAUAAAUAAUAACUUUAUUAUUGCCUCUAGGGCAUAUUUCCUUCAUUGGUCAGGGUCUCCUCCCGGGCCCUGACCUCCGAAAGCGUCCCCUCAAGACCCUCCAGCUUGAGCUUCAGGUCUUUGAUGGAGUCAUUGGCCUUGGAGAGCAACUCGGCUUUGCCGAGGACUGCGGCCUGCGCCUCCACCAAGGCACCGUUGAGCGUGUCCUUCUCCUUCGCCAGCUCUAGGACCUGUUUCUUCAGGCCAUCCCGCUCCACCUCCAGCUCCUUCACUCUGCGGGCAUGGACCAGGGCUUGGGCAUUGAGCGCCUCCCUGUGCCUCUGCUCCAGUACCUGGGUCCGCAACACGAUGAGCUUCUCGACCUCCUCAUCCUUGCCGCGGAGCGUGGCGGAGAGUGCCUCCUCACGAGCGGCAAGGUCCUCCUCCUGGGAGUUCAGCUCGACCUGGUGCUGAUGUCGAGCGGCCUCGUCAUUGGCGGCCUGUUCCCUCGCCGCCUCUUGGGCUUUCUCGACGUCGGCCUGCUUCAGGAUGAGCUCUUGUUUGCGCUCAGCCAGCAGAUCCUGGGCAACCUUCAGUUCCUCGUGGGCUUGGCGGAACCAGGCCUGCGUCUCAACGACGCAUCCCUCGAGAUCCGCCUCCGCCUUGUCCACCGCCGCCAUCUUGGAUUUUGCUUUGUCCAGGCGGGCACGGUGAAGCGCCUGGAGCUUCUGGAAGUUGGUGCUCAUGGCCCGGAGCAGCUGCUCCUCUUGGGAACCGCCCCAGCGCUCGCUUCGUCAACGACCUGGAGCCCGGCGGAGGCGAGCGCCUCGUCGUCGAACACCUCCCCUUCGGCUGGCGCCCUGGUGCUUGCCGUUCCUGGGAGGUGGAUGAACAGGUUCUCGCCCACCUUCAAGUACUUGCCUGAGCCGGAGGCAGCAGAGGAGGAAGGUUGGUCAUCAACCAUCCCCUCCUUGGCAGUGGCCUUGCCGGCCUCUCCGGCAAGCCCCUUGCCGGCCUCCUCGGCAGCGGCCUUGCCGGCCUCCCCGGCAGGCUCCUUGGCAGCCUCUUCAGCGGCGGUCUUGGAGGCCUCCUCGGCAGCGAUCUUGUUGGCCUCAGCCUCGGUGUCCCUGGCAACCUCCUCGAUAACAGUGUCGAUAUCCUCCCGGUCCACCGAGGAAGGAUCUGGAUACCAAGAAGAGAGGAUGAGACAGGGCCAAGGUCAAGGUUCAAUAAGAAAAAGAAAGAGUGAGGACGGGAAGCAAACGACUUACCCGCUUCAAGCUAGGAAGAAGUAGCGCCCUCCCCUCCAUCAUUUGUUGCCGGGUAGAACCCCCGGCACCCAAACUCGCCUCCUCCUCCAUAUGAGUGAGCUCGGUGGUGGAUGCCCUUGCCGGGGACGCCCCUCAGGGCGGCGUAGUCGAGAGGGGCGGCAUGUUGGGGGUGGCCCUCAGCGGCUCCUCCUGCCGCUGCUCUUCUCCUACGAACCCAGCGAGGUCAGCAUCAAGGAUUCACACCCCAAUGUUCAUCAGUGGAGUUUUGAGUGGUGAGCUUACGCUGGGGGCUGGAGCGGGGGCUGCGCCGGGGGUUGCGUCAGGGGCUGUUGUCCGGGCUGCUCUCCACCAAAAACGGCGUACGCGAAGUACCCGUCAGGGGCUUGUCGCCCGUCGAGGCCUUGGCCUUCUUCGCUGCCCUCUGGGCCAGCGUCUCCACAUCCCUGCAAGGAUGAAAGCAAGUCAAGAAAACCAACGCGGUCUGAAGGAACGGGGAUGAUGAAGGGCAAGAUGCUUACUUAUCCUCCACCUUCUCUUCCGUUGCCUUCCUCUUCCUCCUUGGUCUGAGAGACCCAAGAUCGAAGACGACCUCUAUGUCGACAUCUGCGGGAGGAGGGGAAGGGGAUGGAGUCCGGCAACACUUGAACGAAGAAGAGGCGGUCGCUUUCUUCUUCGCCACCGCGGCCUUCACCACCUUCUUCGCUGCCACGGCCCUCGUCAGGCGCACGGACUCCCCCUGGACCUCUUGCCGCUGCUCGGUCCUGCCGGGCCGGACCGGCUCGCCAGAGCUGGCCAGCCGCAGGACACGCCUUUUCCCCGUGGCCAAAGGGUCGUCAGCCUCGGCCUCUUCCUCGGUCGACUCCUCGACCACAUCUUCGAUGAGAGGGGCCCCGGUGCCGGUGCUGCUGAUCUCCCCAGCAAACUCCGCCCAUUCGGCAAUCUCCUUCUUCUCCGCGGUCGCCUCGGCCUCGUCCUCCACGUGGCCGGCGCUGCCAGCCUCCCUGGCAAGCGCCGCCAUGGCGGCGAUGUAGACUAGAUCCUCCUUGGUGGUGUCCUGGAUAAGCAGUGGCUCAUCGCGGACGUACCUCUCCAACAGGUUGUCGAAGAACUCCUGCACCUGCUCCGCCUCCGGCUCGGCCCAAUUUGGGUCAAGGUCGUGCACGUUGAAGUCCGGCAUCAUGGCGAUGAUGUCGGUUUGGCAAGAGUUGUUACUCAGCGGGACCACUCCCGCCGGCAACCAGAACAGAGGCCCCUUGACAGCCUUGCCGGCCUUCGCGGCCUUGCCGGCUCUCUCAGCCCUGCUGUCGUCACCCACAUUGAGCUGAAAAAGCCUCUGACAAAAAUGGGCGUGCCCCAUCACCGUGAAGUUGUGCUUCAGGCCAGGGCGAAGCCUCAUGAUGUCGGCCGCGUUCCUGAAGAGCCAGGCCGGCCUCCCCUUGUUAUGCAGUGGGGCGAUUCGGUAGCAGAUGAAAUCGGCCCCAAUCAUCUCAAAGGUGAGCCCGUCCAUGGUGAGGCGAUGGAUCCUGGUAGUAGCGAUCGCGAGCUUCUUGUCGUCGGUGUCGGGGUCGCUCCAGUCCUUGCGACGGACUGGCGGGCUCUAACAAACUCGGCAGAACUCCUGCGGAUCCUCCUCCUCGAUCCAUAGCCACCGACCCCACCACUCCUCCCACCUCUCCUUCUGGGCGCCCUCCGGAUACGUGCCCUUCUCCUGGGUCCGUGGGAUCCAGGUGACGCAGCCGGAGAUGGCACCCCCCGCCUGGAUACGGGGAUAGAAGUAGUGGCGGAAGAGUGUCGUGCUGGGAAGCAUUCCGGCGAAGCCCUCAUAGAGGUGGGCAAAGAAGGCCAUGCACGCCACGACAUUCGGCGUGAAAUCAAGAAGAUGGAAGUCGUAGGUGUGCAUGACAUCAUUGAAAAAAUGGGAGAAAGGGGGCAGAGCCCGCAGGAGAAGUAGUCAACGAAGAAAGGAUAGCGAUUCGGGCCGGCCUCAACAAAAUCAGCGGGGAUGAUGUGCGUGGCCGGAUGCCCCGUCGUCUUCGCCCCCCACAGAGGCCUGAAGUAGUCCCUAAGGUGGACCGCAUCAACGUCCUUGGCCACUCCCUUGCCCUUACUGGUUUUGGGUGCCAUGGCGGUCGGGAAAGAGGUGAGGAAUCUGGAGCAAUGGGAGAUUGAGGGCAAUGGGGGCGCGGCGGCGGCGGAUGGAGGCGGGAGUUUUGGCUUUUUCGCUUUUUCGCUUGAGCAAGAAGGGGGGACGGCGGUUCUGAAAUUGGAGAGACGUGGAGGGUAAAUGAGCAGCACGCCCGCGGUUUCCCCUUUUUAUGGGGAAGGCGCGGACCGCCUCUUUACCAUUUACCAUGAUGUGACGCAUGAGGGCAGCAACCGCCCCACGCACAACCCCCACGUCGUGCAUUCAACGCGGGUCGUGGGGAAGCGCAACCAACGGAGAGGUUACCGCAGUAAAACUCCGCCCCGCGUGCCCGCGCACCGUUUCGGGCCUAGCCCAACAACGCGUCGCGCUUAUGUGUGGCCCAAGCCCGGGGGCUCCUAUCAGUGCACAAAAGUAGGGGCUCUCUUUUGUGCCCCUUUACCUGUGCACGGGCAGUCAAAGCCGCACCCGCGACCACACUUAGCAGGGCAGAGGAGGGAAGCAGAAGUGCAAGGCUACCAGAGCAGCGCUCCAACCAAGGGCGCAGAAGACGGAGCGAUCAGACAGGCUUCCUCCCGACAAGACCCUUGCCAAGGUAGCCUACACAGCCCCGGCAAGACCCUUGCCGGGGCAGCUCGCCCAACACCAACAUCGCAGGCACCCUUGAGCCUGAGAGUUCCGACACCAUCGAUAGCACUGAAACCAAGGCUCGGGAAGUGCCUGCAUGGUGGCAUGCAGAUCUUUGUGAAGACAGAGAACCUACAAAUCCUAGAUGAGGACCAGAAGACAAGACAACCGCAAGGCUCCUUGCCGAGGAUGCCCACGAGGCCCCAGCAAGGCACCUUGCUGAAGACACCCGUCAGGCCCCGGCAAGGCUCUUGCCGGGGGCGCUCACAAGGCCCCGGCAAGACCCUUGCCAGGAUAUAUGCAAGACCGCGGCAAGGCCUUGCCGCCCCAUCGCCGCCCCAGCUCAGCGGCCAACCCACCAACUGAAGCAAGUACCCACGUGGCAGUACGUGGGUACUAAUCCAACUAGCCAAACACCUGCGUGGUGGCAUACAGAUCUUCAUGAAGACCCUACCACCACGCCAACUCAGCAGCCUGCCAGCCUACGUGGCGUUGCAUGCCUCGUUGGCCUGGACACGUGUCGGAGCAAGGCGGAGCGGCGACGGACGGGACGGGCCUCGUUACCGCCCCCGAUAAAGCAAGUGGACACCUAAGUAGCGCAUUUAAUGCACGUUGUCCUGUAAUGACAGGCGAUAAGCUUGUACACAGUAUACCUUUCUACCUCAUGUGCGCCACUGUGGCAGCCCCUUUUGACUAUAAAAGGAGGCCCAAGACGUACUGAAGAAGGAUUCGGAUCUUUUGGACGAAACACGCAUCGUAGCUACUUUAAGAACUCAAGAACACUCAAAUAUACACCAAAGCAGGACUAGGGUAUUACGCAUCCUCGCGGCCCGAACCUGGGUAGGCGAUCCUCGUGCUGGCUUCUAGACCCGCUCUUUGCACAACCUCGCGCCCGCCAACCGUAGCAAAAGGGAUCCCAGUGAUCCCAUAGGUGUCGUUUCCCCCGACAGUCGGUUCAUCUGCGUGCAUUAUAUAAUUAAGUGUAUCAAAAACCAUUACAGAACAUCAUGAAUAGAGAAGUGACCAAAUUAAUACAAGUUCAUCAUCACAUUAAAACCAAAGUACAGUAGUGAGAAAAUGUUAUUACUGAAAAAAUAAAUACAUAAAGUUCAUACAUAGUUCUCAUAGAACAACAUACAGCUCUCUAGAGCAUCUAAUUAAAACAUACAUUGAAACUAACAUACAGCCAUGUAAAACAUUUAAAUGCAACAACAAAUGCGAUCAUAAUCGCAACUAAGAUAACAAUUGAUCUAACAGCAUAAUGAUACCAAGCCUCAUUAUCAAUGGCAUAUUUUCUAAUCUUUCUAACCUUCACGCGCAUUGCAUCCAUCUGGAUCUUGUGAUCAUCAACAACAUCGGCAACAUGCAACUCCAAUUUCAUCUUCCCCUCUUCAAUUCUUUUCAAUUUUUCUUUCAAAUAUUUGUUUUCUUUUUCAACUAAGUUUAACCUCUCGACAAGAGGGUCGGUUUUAAUUUCCGGUUCACAUACCUCCUACAUAAAAACAUCUAUGUCACAUUGGUCGGCAUAAUUGUCAUAAACACUAAAUGAUACAAAUAGUAAUAAAAGAUAAUAUACCACAUCGGAAUCAUAGACCAGAUGAGGGCCGACGGGGGCGGAUACCAAAACCAUGGCACUAUAUAAUAACAAACAAUAAUAAAAGUAAGAAAAUUAUACAAGUAUCUAUCUAAAUCAUACAAGUAAAAAAAUUCUUUUAAAAAGAAGAUAAGAACAAGAGGCUCACCACGGUGGUGCCGUGACGAGAUCGGCGCGGGGGAUCGACGGCGGUGAGGACGGGGAUGGGGACGGCACCCUACACAUGUGCAGACUCUAAGAAGUUAAUUUCAGCUCAAAUUGUGCAUCUAAAUCAAAAGAACUCUCACAUACACUCCUCCACUAAAACCCACAAACCACUCUACUUCUAGAGCAUUUGAAAUGAGCUAAACUAGCAGUGAGAGAUGAAACGAUGAAGUUGCUAAACUUUUAGAACACUUGUGUAGUUGUUGCACUGCCAAACCUAGACAAAUCUUGGGGAAAAUGUAGCUUGGAGGUCGAGCUUGGAGAGGAGAAAGCUUAGUUGUGGCCCCGGCAUUUCAUCGAACACCUCAUGUGCAUAGGAGGUGAGAACAGAGAGAAGCACACAUCCCACACGCCGGCCGGCCAAAAAACAGAGGAGUGAGCGGGCAGGGGCAAGCAUAUAUAUAGGCAUCUCUUUAGUCCCGGUUGGUGGCUAGAACCGGGACAGAAGACUGACCUUUAGUCCCGGUUCCAGCCACCAACCGGGACUAAAGGGGUUGCACCAGGAGCGAGGCCCUUUAGUCCCGGUUCGUGUCUGGAACCGAGACCAAAGGGGUCAGACGAACUGGGACUGGUUCCUGCCGAGGCCCGGCCAGCACCCUGGCCUCACGAACCGGAUCUGAUGCACCCAUUGAUCCCGAUUCGUAACAGAACCGGGAUUAAUGCUCUUAUCUGGCCUGGACCAAAGCCCUGUUUUCUACUAGUGUGUUUUCCUCCAGGUAUGCGAUGCGACACAUGUUCAUGCGCUUGAUUCCCUCCAAGUUGAUAAUGAGUGCAAGGCAGGCAUUGCAAGUGGACUUAGUGUCCUCGGCAACUUCUUCCCCAAUUAGUUGAGAUGUUCACCCAAAAGAUCAUGGCCAAGGGGUGACCCAUUAACAUGUACCUCAAAUCGGCACAUACGCUCAUCAAUGUUGAUGGGUGCGGCUUUUGCAUCUAGUCGAGAUCGGCGAGAUAUUUCUUCUGCAUCCUCCGGGCGGCUUGACAGAUUUGCGAGCACCAAUCAUGAACUUCUUGCUAGUAGCUUGUCACGAUGACGUACGCUGGUAAGUGCCCACUAACAAUCUAUGUAUGGUGUUUGGUGUGCCCAGCCAUGAUGGUUGUGGUUCCCUUGCUUGUAGGUUGAUAACCCACAAGUGUAGGGGAUAUAUUGUAGCCUUUUUUGAUAAGUAAGAAUGUUGAACCCAAUACUAAUGUGUUGUUCUUACUUGAACAACUAACAUAUUUAUGAUUAUACCCUCUAUGCAAGAAUCCACAAAUACAAAAAGAUUAAUUAAGAUAACAUCUAGCCAUAGUAUUAAAUUCUAGAGUUUCAGUAGCUCCUCAUGCAACAAUUCAUAAACUUAGGGUUUGGUAAUAUCUGUCACUGCAACCACCCAUAAUAGUUAAGCUAAUCAUACUACCCACUCGUCUAGGCCCUUAAUGCUUAAGUGAUAUGCAUUCGAUGCUGAAGUGAGAAGCACCAAAGAACCGCCACAACCAACCGCACCUCUCGGAGACCACCGAAGACCAAACUCGAGCACUAGGCGCUAUAACCACCAAUGGCCGACCCGACGCAGCGCGAGCCGUCGUGCCCUGCCGAGCACCGUGUCAGCAAGGAGCAGAGGAACACUGCCCGAGGCCAAGAACCACCGUGAUUAUGGGCUGCAACCAUGCAUCAAGCACGCCGAUGAGCCCGCUGGAGACCAGAUGCAAUGCGCCNNNNNNNNNNNNNNNNNNNNNNNNNNNNNNNNNNNNNNNNNNNNNNNNNNNNNNNNNNNNNNNNNNNNNNNNNNNNNNNNNNNNNNNNNNNNNNNNNNNNNNNNNNNNNNNNNNNNNNNNNNNNNNNNNNNNNNNNNNNNNNNNNNNNNNNNNNNNNNNNNNNNNNNNNNNNNNNNNNNNNNNNNNNNNNNNNNNNNNNNNNNNNNNNNNNNNNNNNNNNNNNNNNNNNNNNNNNNNNNNNNNNNNNNNNNNNNNNNNNNNNNNNNNNNNNNNNNNNNNNNNNNNNNNNNNNNNNNNNNNNNNNNNNNNNNNNNNNNNNNNNNNNNNNNNNNNNNNNNNNNNNNNNNNNNNNNNNNNNNNNNNNNNNNNNNNNNNNNNNNNNNNNNNNNNNNNNNNNNNNNNNNNNNNNNNNNNNNNNNNNNNNNNNNNNNNNNNNNNNNNNNNNNNNNNNNNNNNNNNNNNNNNNNNNNNNNNNNNNNNNNNNNNNNNNNNNNNNNNNNNNNNNNNNNNNNNNNNNNNNNNNNNNNNNNNNNNNNNNNNNNNNNNNNUCCCACCGGCGAGCAGCCACCACCGCACCCCAAGACUCUAGAUCGGAGGGUCGCGUGCACCAAGACCCACCAAUCCAACCACCAUGAGCGCUCGUCAAAGCGCGGCGCAUGGGCAGCACCAACCGUGCAUGACAGCCACCGCCACCAACCUCUUCCUACCACACACCACAGUGCAGCCAGCGGCAAGCCGGCAGCCACCAUCGCGCCUCAAAGCUCAUCGGCACAGCCACGCGCGAGCCAUUGGUGCCAUUAAUGGGCGGCAUGGGUGCCCCGACCUCGCCGGCAACGAGCACCCUAGACAACACCACGGAGCUCUGUGCGUCCAUAUAGAACCCAUCUAGCACCUACGUUCAUUACAGGGUCACCUGUGGCGCCGGCGAGCAUCCAGUGCCUCAUGCCACCUAAGCCAAAGCAACGCUCCGAUGCCGCCGUCGGCCACACGAGCUUCACCCGGCGACGUCCUCUAGUGGCGGCAUGGGGAAGAAGGGGUGGCGGAUGGGGUGGCGGCGGCUAGGUUAGAGAGCCACCCGAGUCGCCUUGUGAGAUCGACGCGGGGGCGUUUUCUUCAUAUCGUCUACCCUACAACACGUGUACAAUAUUAUGCAUGCCGCAUCACUAUUAAUAUAUUCCUACAGGUUUUCCUGCAAAAAAAAAUAUUCCUACAGGAUAGUUUUUCAUUCGACAAUACAAAUCGAUUUGAUUCCACAAAACAAGAGAAUAACAUAAAAUAAAAAUAGAAAUAAAUUAUAUAAAAAGUGAGCUGUCAUAUAUGCUCACAGUAUGGCACCCAAUUGUCCACGCCGUUGGCUAUGGCUAGAUACCGUUCUUGAUCUUAUCAAUUCAUGCAUUCCCUUUUGUGGUUUUGGAAUAUGUUAGCUAAAGCUUCUGAUGCGUGCAGAUGGAAAAGAUAAUUAAAGUAGGUAGUCGCCAAUGCAAGUAGCCAUAGAGAGGGCAUCGAUCUCUUUCUGUAGCUUCCGGGCCGGUGCUCGCCGCGCUUAUCUCACCUGGUCGACAGCUUAGAGUAUAUCUGCACUGCAUAAGAUGCCGCGAUCCGAGAUCGGUCGACUGCAAUCUAUCGUACAUACAUGACAUCAACUUGACUUGAUAGCAUUAUCCUAAGCCAUAGACGUAAAGUUUAUGCAUGCAUGACCUCUUUAUUUAAAAUCGAGUCUAGAAUAUAUUUGAUCAAUAGCAUGUCGGAUAUAACCAGAUAAUGGGGUAGCUGAACCCGCAAGAACAAAGGGAAAGUUCUAGUUGUACCAUCAUAACAACGUACUCUAUAUCCUCACCGUUCAUUCUUGCAUCAAAGUUGGUGCACAAAAACUUCUCUUUUUUUUCUCCCAAAUAAAACAUUUGAACUUACCUAGCAAAAAAAAGAACAUUUGAACUUGAAACUUUGCAGAUAAACAUCACACAAGUACUAUCAUGUGCAGAAAAGUUUUCGGAUUUUUUGGCGCAAGAUAAUUUUAAAAAAUGAUACAAUUCAUUUGAAAGUUGAAUUUAACAAAUUUAUGUUUCAUCAAAAAAUCCUAGAUAUUUUAUAUAAUGAGUGACACCUGUGUGUAGUUGAUUUGCAAAGUUUCAAGGUCAAUUGUUCUCCCCUUUGGAAGAAACAAAAAAGAGAAAUUACUCUAUAAGGAUAGCACGGAUCUUGACACAAGCUGAAUGGUAUAGACAAAGGAUACUGGUAUGGGGGUACAAAAAAUCCACAGUCAAGAGGAAAAGGAAUUAUAAACCAAGGGGAGAUUUGAGCUUUGACUAUAUGCUUCAAGAAUCUGCUGAAGCCCACUAUAAGUCUUGCCGACCAUGGGCAACAUCGAGAAAUGCAAUCAAUAAAGUUUAUCAAAAAAUUGUUGAGGACCAAACCUCAUUGAAUCGCCAUAAUAGUAGACCGACGCGUAAGAUGAAGAUUGGCAACCGCGCGGAGGUAUAACCCCGGCCUUGGCUGGCAACCAUGCUAGCAUUGUUAGACUUGGCAGACGACUUUGCUCGCAUGGAUUCAAAAGAAGGAGCUAUUGAAGAAAACAAUGUUUUCUCUGAUGAUGCCAUGGAGCCGCGCCGACAAACAACAUGAAUAAUCAAUCCGUUGUCCGCUAAGAACAAUGGUGAUAGAAACACCAAAGCUCGUAGGUAACACUGCACCAAGCGCCACCGAGAUGGGAUUGGAGUCGAAGUACUUUUAUUCGAGAUAACGCCAUCACCGUCGGAGCAACCGAUGCUACUGAUGUUGGUGACGGUACCGUGGUUGUACUUUUGAAUUAGAGGUGGGGCGUGGUGAAACCAUCAGAGGUUAGAUAUGGGCUCUAGACCCUUUACAAUGGAAACGUAUGUUCUAAAUACUAUAGAUGAUACCCCAUGCGUUGUUGUGGAAAUUUAUAGCAAUAUAUUUCAAUAAGUUUGGAACUUGAAACAUAUCGGCUAGUACUAUGAGAAAUAAAUCUGAAAAUACACAUGUUUGAUUGUAUUUAUUUAUUUUAUCGUGUAAAAUAUUUAUUGAAUAUAAGUAGCAUAAUAGUUUUUCAUGCAUGAUUGCAUGUUGAGGUGAAUCUUUUCCCAUGCAUGAUUGCAUGUUAAGGUGGACAUUUUUCAUGCAUAGGCGUAUGUUGAUGUGGCUUGCUUGUAUGUUAAGAUAAAUAAAUUAAAUUAGUGGAAAUCACCUACUUAGUUAUAUAAGAUUUCCUUUUUUAGUCUUCUAUUGUAAACACCAUCGAAUUAGCCAACUAAUUUUUACUAAUUAAUAUCAAUUAGCGCACAACGGUAAUCAUUUAUAGAGUUUUCUAGUGGGGUGUACGUAAAAAGUUCUUCCUAUAAUAAAUAUAAUGCGGUGCAAUCCAAUCCUCGCAUAUGAUAAGUAUGUAUAUCUCCAAAGUGUAAAAUAUUAAUGUAUAGGUAUUUUUUGAUUAGCUUCUCGGUCCAGAUCUAGAUCGGGGGGGCUCCUCCGGCAUGCUGCACGUGGGCGGCGCGUCCUGUCGGCAGCGGCUGGAUCCCGGGGCGGCGGCCCUGGAAGGUGGCGGCGGGUGAAGCUCGGGCUUCCCGCGGCGGCAUGGCGUGGUGCAGUUCCUAUCCAAGGCGGAUCUGCAUCAGCGAUCUCGUGGUUUUGCCACGGAUUGGUUCAGAUCAGAGACGGUGAUGAGCGUGCGGGAUCCAUCUCGGCGGCUCUCGCAGUUUGGCGAGGUGGGGUGGGAGCCCUUCUCCUAGGCUCCAGUGGUGGCGCAUUCAGGCAGUGGCCGGUGCACCAGGGCUCCUACGGUGGCACUGUUGUUACGGUUGGUCGCCGGAUCUAGGCGGCUAGAUCUGGGGCUUUGAAGGCGGUCGAGACAGUGCAUAGGUUGUCGGGUGGAUUUCUUGGGACGGAUCCGGGUGAAAACUUGGUCUUCGGUCAUUGGCCGGAGCCGGUGAUGACGAUGCCCCUUAUCAUCGUUUCCUUCAUGAAGGCAUCAUCGAGGUGAAGCUCCCAACCCCACCCAAUACCUCCAGGGGAAACCCUAGAUCAGUUGAUCGGAUGACAGCGGCAUUCGUGUGCCGUUGCCCCCUUGGGGGCGGCAUUCUUGGAGAUGCACUCGGGCUCGAGGGACUAGCGGAUGGUAUCUGCGAUGGAGCGGUGUUUCUUUCUACAUAUUCAUGGUGGCGAUUCUCGACGACAUGGAGCAAUGGAGCUUGGCGUUAGAUGUGUGGCGAGGGACACGCGUAGAAGGUCGAUGUUGUCUGGCGUCAUGGUGGCGUCGAUGGCAGAGAGGCCUGACAAGGUCGAUGCGUCAGUACAUACUUUGAGGAUGGAUCGAGGGAAGACGGAGGUGACGGCCCUUUGCAGCGUGUGCAUGUGGUACUCACUGAGAGUGCGCCGGACCGGAGUGUUACCCAGUCCCGCCUAUGUGGCUUGGAUGGGGCAUCCGGCGUUAAAUGUUAGGCUUUCGUGCGAUGUCUGUUUGGUAUUUGGCCCGGACAUUCGGCACCCCUUCAUCAAGAGGAUAGGAGUAGCGACAGGUGUCGUCUAGAUGGUGGUCUCGGGUUUACUGUUGUAUUACUUUGUAAGGUCUUUGUGAGUAAUAAAUAAUAUAGCCGCAUGCAUCACCCGGAUGCAGAGGCCGGGGUGAUUCCUCCUUUUCUAAAAAAAAAUUAUGGGUAAUAUACUAAUAUUAAAAUGAUAUCAAUUACACUCGGACUCUACAAACAACACAAUAUCAAGAACUAGUCGAGACAUUGAGGGUGCAUACAACUAAAAGGGAAAAGAAGGAGAAGAAGUAAAAAAAAAGAGUUGACGCAAUCAACAACACACAAUAAAACAACCGCAACACCAACAUUAUCCUGAACAACACAUGGACUACGAGCAAGAUUCCCAGAAAAUAGCACAUCCGCCCAAGAGUUCCUGUCACUGCAUCCAACGGUCGAAAAUCGGGUUAUGAGUUUUUACCCCGAAGAGCACGUCUAAAGAAUGUCUAAAGAAAUAUGCCCUCUCAACAAGGACGCAUAGUGUAAACAUCAUCAUUUUUACAACCAAUAAAGGUCGGACCUAGGGUUUUAUCUAGUAGUUCAAGUCACGGCACUCACAGCGCAACGCUAAACCGAAGUCACCGUGUAUUAUUGUCACCACUUGCCGAACAAGCCGAUGUUGCAUGGAAGGGCACACCUGCACACUAUGAUCACGGGAAAUUAAAAUUCAAACCGUUCCAUGACAUACAGGACCGGGAAAAAGGCAUCACCACAUCAUCAAAGCCAUGCUCUUCUAAACACGAAAUGCCGCACCUCACGGAGAACCAAACGUCAUCACGGGAGGUUCUACACGUCGUACGCAUGCACGUGCCCCAGAGCCAUUGUAGGAGAGGCCGAUGGCGCCUAGACCUGGCAAGCCAAAGCCGUAUUAUUCCCGCUCAACCACAUACCCAUUCGCGUCGCCGCCGUUGGUGCUGCAUCGCCGACCGAGCCGUCAGCCAGCCUCCGAACAGCAGCUGGACCACCACUGCCGGAUCAGGGGAGGUGCCGAUGUAUGUGUGAUGGAAAAUAAUUAUAAUAACAACCAGGAGACGAUAGUAAACUACUAUGAUCAAUAUGCAAUGCAACUACAAAAUUUGUAGGUUGAAGAUGUGCACGUAUCAUUUGAUAAUGAACUGUUUAUAUUUAUCAACUAGCUCUUUGAAAAACGAUGAUUGUACAUCUGAGUGCACAAAUAGCACUGGGAUUACAACACGAACAUCACCCGUACGUAAAACUCGCUCAUAGCGAGCUAUAAGCCUUGCUAUUGCCGGAACAGGAUUGAAAAAACCUGUUCGAUCGACGCUAACUAGGCCUUUAGUUACGUUAUUCUAAGAAAAUGCAUAUACAUACUUCACACUCUUUGACAAAAUUUUAUUUUCCCAAGUGGCGCCUGCAUUCCUCUAUAGCCAGAGGGCACCUGCAUUCCUCAGCACUGGGACCAGCUCCCCGCUGAGAUGCAUGGACAUGACCCUGUUUGUCCCGCCGACAAGCUUCCCGCCGAUGAACACCACCGGAACAGACGGGCCUUUCCCGAGCAUCUUGAGGAGAGCUCUCUCCAUCUCCUUUCCCCUGGGGUCUUGGUCGAGCUCGUGCACCAGUGCGUUGACACCUAGGUCGCAGAAGAGCCGCGCCACGGUGUGGCACAUGCAGCAGGAGCUCAGGGUGAAGAUCACCACCGCUCUCUCCGACGCCAGCUUCAUCACGCGAUCCAUCUGCCUUCUAAAUAAGUUCUUCUAAUCGGUUAUGUGUGUACGUGCACAGAUCUCUAAGCCUGAUUUGCUUUGAAGUUUGAAGAGGACUUUGAAAUGUGAUGGAGCCUUUGAGUAGCUCUAGCUAGUUGUUGUUGCCUUGUGUUGUGCCAAAGAGGAAACCUGGAUGGUUUGCUAGCAGAGGGGUGGCUUCCUUUUAUAGAGCUACAAAAGGGUAGUGUUUCUUUCUAGGCACUAGCUAGGGUGUCCUUCAUGCAUGGGUUGGGUUGGAAUAUCCAGUGCAAGUAAGAUCAGGAAGGAGUCAAUUGGAAGAAACCACCACAUUUGCGGCUAGGUUUGCAGGAAACCACCAACUCGUUAAUCCGUUGCAGAAAACACCGAAAACUUUUAAGUCGUUGCAAAAAACACUGAUCGGAUGAUUUGGCCCGUUUAAUCACUUUCUUACAGGUGGGGCCAGAUUGUAAGGAAUUGACUUAGCAAAAAAAUAACACAUACACCCCUAGAUCUAAAAAACAAAGCAAUCAGACCCUCCCCAUGGAACACAGACGCCCUAUCCACUACGCGCCCACCGCCGCGCUACUGCCAUCCGUCCGGCACGGUGGCGCCCAGGCCGGGAUGCCGGCAUGGCGGCUCAGGGCUCCCGCUGCCGCUGCCCUCGCAGCUGGAACAGCCGCAAUGCCGCCGCCGCCGGCGGCCGCUUCGCUCCGCAUUCUCCAAUCGGGAGGAGGCAGCCGCCGCGCGCCCUCGCAGCUGACCGCGCCGCCGCCGCGCGCCCUCGCAGCUGACCGCGCCGCCGCCGCCGGAAGCCCACCCGCGCCGCGCCGCCGCCGCUGGAAGCCCACCUGCCGCCCUCUCUCCAUGGCGUGGACGCCCUGAGCCGCCGUGCACUGCUCCUACCCGAGCUUCUAAUGUGGACGGCGCCGGAGGGGCCUCUGGUUCGAACUCGUCCUCCUUCGUGGAGGAGGGCGACGGAAACAACUUGUCCAGCAGGUGGACUCAACUCGUCGCCUGCUUCCCCUCCACCCCCACCCUUGACCACGUCGGAGGAGGGUGCUGCUCCUCCGCCUCGGCUCCCGGUGCGUGCUCCACGACGCCGACCCGGCCGCCAUCGUCGCUGCAGCACCAGCAGGCCAACGCCUCGGAAACGAGCGCACCCCAGCUGCCUCCUCGUCAUUUGCCGCGGCCGUAGCCAUCUCCGACGCCGACGAGGGCGUCGAUGUACCAGACGGCAAGGCCAGUUCUUCGUGGUUGUCAAGGGCGGGGGUCUGAUUGUGUUUUUUGUAAAUAUCUAGGGGUGUGUGUGCUAAUUGUUGUCCAGUUAAGCUCCUUACAAUCCGGCCCCACUUGUCAGAAAGUGAUCAAAUGGGCCAAAUCACCCGAUCAGUGCUUUCUGCAAAGAGUUUAGUGAAAUCGCGGUGUUUUUUGCAACGGAUUAUCGACUUGGUGGUUUUCCGCAAACCUAGCCGCAAAUGUGGUAGUUUUCUGCAAUUGACUCAUCAGGAAGUGUUUGGGACAGACCAAUGUGAUCUAGCAGCCAUCUUUAACAUUGUAUAAAGAGCAUUUUGGAUUUUUCUAGAAAAAACAAAUGAAAGCUCCUAGCUAGCAUGCUUGGUAUUGGCGCCAUUGGUUUGUUCAAAAGCAUAUUUUGGUUGGUAUCCAAGAGGAGAUCAGAUUAGAUAAUGCACGCGUGGAGCCGUGUUGGUUCUGAUCAACAUGGACCCAAACACGCGACUGGAAUAAUCCGAUCGAUUUUCUAAGUGUUGACCUAGCUAGCUAGAGGGAAUCUCGUAUAUAUGCCUAUGGAGAGGUCCUGCUUUUGAAAUCCAUCUAUCUAUUGGCUGUUUAUUAAGCUUGCACGUACUACAUGCAGGCAACUAUAAUCUUCAGGAGAAUUAAUUAAGACUUGGAAGGGGUGGUCAAUCUUAAUUAAGAUCUCAUCAUUGAUAGUGUACUCAAUGCGUACUAUCUCAAAGCGCCCAAGCCAAUGGGAUGAAAUUUCAGUACGAGUUUCUCUCCUCGUUUGAGUUUUCAAAAUGGAAAACAGAAAAGCAAUUCAUGUGUUUACAAACAGAUGAACGACUUGGUCUUUGUCGGUUUUUACUUAACAAAGAGCACUAAAAAAGGUUUUUACUUAACAAACUAGGUCACUCUUUUCUACUUAAUUGCCCAUUUUUUCGGGACUCGUUUCUACUUUGAAAGGCAGUGCUCCUGUCAGUUUCACGAAAGUAUGGAUGAACAGAAGCUUGCAAUGGUGAAAACGUGUCGAUGAUGUGCGACAACAAGAACCGUAUCAACAACGACGCGGAAUGCCGAUAUGGUACGGCCAAUACUUUGCUUGUAAGGAAACCUCAGGCUCACCUUGUUUCUGGUUAACCGGCGAUGAGUCGCCACAGGUUCAGAGAAUAGCAUCGUCGACAGAGCUCUCAAUCUCUCAUCACUCACACUGCCUUAUCUGUAAGCACAGAAUAUGUCCAACUUGCCUGCUUUUUCUCUCUCAAGAUUUAGCUGCUUGGGCUUUGAGAAACGCCCAUCAUCAUCAUCUCUUGGCCGUAUCAGAUAUGAGGCGCCGCGAUACCGACGACGGUGCCAUCCUUGCUUUUUCUUUGACAUCCUCACCGAAUCGAUCCUACAAAGCUCUGCCAAAGCAACGAAAGUACGGAGAGAGGGAGAGAGAGAUGCUGCAUGUGGCACCACACAGUUGCUACAUGUAUGGUGGUACAAGCAUCUACAGAAAGUCAGAUAUAUAUUACCAGGGUGUUAUUUUCAAAACAAAACAAAAAACUGCAGUUUUAACGCAUGACGCAAACAUCCGGGCACUUAAGAAUGGAAUAUAUGUCUUGAUAGAGAUAUCCUUUAUCCUCUAGAUUUGCCUUGAUGCUCUUCACCUGGAAAGAAAAGGCUAGUGUUAUGUAGUGGCAAUCUCCAUAGCUAGCUCCUCAAGGAUCUUAUGGUUCAUCAUCAAUUCUUGGCUCCUCACCCUCUCAAGGGCUAGCCUUGGCUCCUGCAAGAAGAAUGUGUAGCGCAGCUCUUCAGAUCAAUUUAGUACGCACCCGACAUUGCCGAAAAAGGAUAAAUUCUCAAGUAUAUGUGUAGCACGCUGACAGAAAGAGCACCGCUACAUUUUAUGUACAACUGAAUAUGCCAGAGAUAUAGCAAAUACUUUUGAAAUGCUACUGGAGAGGUGUGGAAGCGCCUAGUAGUACAUUUGAACAGUACUGUGUGUACUUGAUUCUGAUUCUUUGGCAAAUUGACAUGUGGAUCACGAAGACCUAACCUAGCCACUGUACAUUGCUGAUGCACAUAUGCCAGCCUUGAGGUGCCGACACCUAAGAGGAUCUUGUUCCUUGGCUCUUUAUUGUUUGAUAUGCCUAGCUAGCUUGUUGAUUACCUGGAACCCUAACAACAACCAAUAUCAUCCAUGUGCAGUAAGUGUGCAGUCUCAUCAGAUCCUAACAUAUCACAUUCAAUCCUCUAUCCUUGAACGACAUCCUACCCAGUUUUUUUAAGGAUUUAGAUUCCAGUUUUGGACAUGGACAGAAACUGAUGCCUGCUGAUAAUAGCUGUGUCUAUCAUCACUCAAUUGAAUCAUCACCCUUUCAUCUUCACCUUCACCUUGAGAGAAUCCUAUUUUGCAUGAUUUUUUCCUUGAAAUUACAACCCAAGGAGAGCGAUGCAUGGCUUUUGUUGUCACGGAGGAUGAAAAAUGACAAGCAUGGCAGUGGGAAUACAAGAUGCAUACCAGUUGCAGGUAAGGUACGGUUUAGCCAACUGACCUCAGUUUGUACUAGAAGAGUGAUGAAAACCAAACCUCAACACAGCACGCUCAAAAAAUUUGGUGUAAAAAUCUAAUAAACUUCUCUCAAAUUGUGAGGAUGAUACAAUCAGGGACCUGACAACAGCAGCGUACACACAAUUCCCAUGGAUUACAGUAGGUCAGAAUUCAACUCCUGGGGAAUAUAGCAUGUGCUGGGCUUCAUCCACGGUGAUACACAGAGUAAUGGUCUGUAUUACAGAUUUAAGACAGAUCUCCAGGUAAUCAAGCAACGCUGUUCACAGCAAUACACUAGUAGCUGACGAUUCAAGAGAUGAAUUGAAUCUUGGUAGAAUGGUAAAGCGGCGAAGGCCCAGGGAUGGGGCUGGCACUAGACGGGCAAUGCCGCGAAACAAUGCUUCUUCUUCUAUGUGUAUGGUUCUGGCAUUGGUUGCACAGACCAGGUGAUACACCAGUAUGAUGUAUUCUCUACAGGAGGUUGUCUUAAGAUGAGUCUGUUGUCGACGGAGAACUGCUUCCUGAUAAAUCUGCAGGCCGCGACGUCGAUCGAGUGUUGUAUGAGUUGCAAUGGCUGCACUUAUGGCCAAUCACGUGGAAGUCCACUUCUGAGACUUUGUUGCAGUCAUUGCAAAGAACCCAAACCUGGAAGAUUUAGCACAAGGACAAACCACUGUUAGCCUGACUCAACAACUAUAUCCACACAAAAAUACUCCCUCUGUUCCUAAAUAUUACUUCCUCCGUUCCUAAAUAUAAGUCUUUGUAGAGAUUUCAAUGGGGACUACAUACGGAGCAAAAUGAAUGAAUCUACACUCUAAAAUAUGGCCAUAUACAUCCGUAUGUAGUCCCUAGGACAAUCUCUACAAAGACUUACAUUCAGGAACGGAGGGAGUAGAUGUUUUAGCAUUCUUCUGAUUCACAUGCAUCUAGACCCAUUUUAAUGUGUAUGUUCACCCAUUUCAAUCCGUGUAGUAGUCUACAUUGGAAUUAUCUAAAACAUCUUAUAUUUAGGAACGGAGGGAGUAUAUCACUAAUGUGUGACAGUUGGCAUGACAAUGGUCGUCUCAUAUCUUAAAAGGUUCAGAUAGAUCAAAAACACAAUAUAACAGAACUUCCACCAUUGGAUGCUCAUUUUCUGUGAGAAAGCUAAAUUGUCAAUAAAAUAAGUGGCAGAAAAUGGUUUCCAGGUGAUUCUGAAAGUAUGGCUAGUGAAGAUGGUUUUGAAUGUAGUAUAUAUCAACGAGCAACAUAACGUUGGCUCGUGCACUAGCACAAACCAGUUUGGCAAUGUAAGCUAUGUCUGGUUGGACUAAAUAGUUCAGUCACAAGAGAAUACCUUGUAACGAUAUACAGGAGGCAUAAUUGUUGCUUCAAUCUACAAAAGGAAAAGCAACUCAUUAUUGAAGCAAGCUCCAAAAUAUAUCUAAAUAUUAAGAGCUGUCCAGAGCAUCAAUGCAUCACAAAGUCAGAAUACAAUGAAUAUUUGUUGAGUGAUUGUUGUAAUGCACAUGUCUGACAUUUAGAAAAUAAACGUUAUACCUCUUGAUCCAACAUGCCCCAGUGAACUGUCAUGUCAAGAGCUGUCUUGGAGCAUAUUGGACAAGUGUAUCUGCAGCAUCAGAAGCCAAUAAAUAGUUACAACAGAAGCAACAACAUCGGAGAGAUUUAAAAAAAAAGGAAUAACUGUGUAAACAUAUAUCUCCAUGUUAACGCAAGUGGAAGGAUUUACUUAUUAUGGUCCACCAUCUCAGCGAAACAGUCCAUGUGCAUCGUGUGUCCACAGUUUAGAACUCUUGUUCCUUUUAAUGAAUCAAAUAGAUACUGCGCAGAAAUUUUCACUAUUAACAUCUCAAUAGUUCCAAUAAGUGAAACAGUACAAGUUCCUGAUGUUACCUCAUAACAGAUUGGGCAGUUCUGUCUCAUUGAAUCCUCCACACACUGAUGGUUAUCACGCAACGCAACAGCAUAACAUGACCCUAUUUAUUGCAGAACAAAUAGUCACGAAAUUGAACAUAUUGAGACAAGAAUUCAUCCUGCACAUCAUAUGCAUCGUCGGCAGAUUUAAAAUACAAGUGAACAAAGAUAACUUUUUAAUUUACACAGGGAUCUUUCUGUUAGGAAUAAGCAACUUGUAUUCCCAUGAGGCCAUAGGCCGAUAUAUAUACAUGUACAGGUGUGGAACAUAUGCAGGAAACCCCUUAUACAACGGGAUAAAUACAAAGGGGUACAUGACCUAUAUUAUAACUCUAACACCCCCCCUCAAACUCAUGGUGGAGGAACAACACUGAGUUUGGAGAGAUAAAAGCCAUGUUGUACUCUAGUCUGGGCCUUCGUCAGGAAAUCCGCCAACUGUAACUCGGAAGGCACAUACUGAAGAGCAAUAACCUGAUCCUGCACAGCAGCGCGCACAUAGAAAGCAUCAACACCAAUAUGCUUGGUGAGCUCAUGCUUCACAGGAUCGCGCGCAAUGCUAAUAGCACAUGUACUGUCAGAUAAGAGCAGAGUCGGUGUAGUGACAGAAACACCAAAAUCCUGAAGUAACCACCGUAACCAAGUCACCUCGGCCGUCAAAAGAGCCAUGGCUCGCAACUCAGCCUCAGCACUCGAACGGGAAACUGCAAUCUGUUUCUUCGUCUUCCAGGCAAUGAGAGAACCGCCAAGAAAAACACAGUAAGCAGAAAGUGAACGGCGAUCAGAAGGAUCACUAGCCCACGUAGCAUCCGCAUAGGCCUGAAGCUGUAAAGAACUGGAGCUAGGAAAGAAUAAACGGUGAGAGAUCGUGCCCCGAAGAUAUCGGAGAACACGAAGGAGAUGACUAUAGUGAACCGAUGUGGGAGCAGAGACAAACUGACUCAGAAUAUGAACCGGAUAAGAGAUGUCCGGACGAGUGACAGCUAGAUAGACAAGACUGCCAACAAGAUGACGAUAACGCGUCGGGUCAGGGAGAGGAUCACCAUCAGUAGCACGGAGGUGAACAUUGAGCUCCAUAGGAGUCUCAACAAUGCGCUCGUCAGUAAGAGCAGCACGAGCAAGAAGAUCCUGGAUAUACUUUUCCUGGGAUAUAAAAAAGCCAUCAGAGGUAGAAGAGACUUCAAUCCCAAGAAAGUAGCGAAGAGGUCCAAGAUCAGACAUAAGAAACUGCUCACUAAGACGGGCCUUUACAAAGGCAAUAUACUCAGGGUCAUCCCCAGUGAUGACCAUAUCAUCAACAUAGAGAAGAAGAAGAGUCCGACCACGAGGAGAAAGGUGAAUAAACAACGCUGGAUCAUGAGCACUUGCUGAAAAACCAGCAGUAGUGACCACAGAGGCAAAACGCUCAAACCAGGCGCGAGGGGCUUGCUUAAGGCCAUAGAGAGAGCGACGAAGACGACACACCAUGCCAUCAGGAACAGAAUACCCAGGUGGUGGCUGCAUGUACACCUCCUCACGCGGCUCACCAUUAAGAAAGGCAUUCUUAACAUCAAGCUGAGAUAUAGACCAGUGGCGUGCAGAGGCAACGGCAAGAAGUGUACGAAUAGUGGUCAUAUGGGCCACAGGAGCAAAAGUCUCGUCAUAAUCACGACCAUGCUCCUGCUGAAAACCACGAGCCGCGAGACGAGCUUUGUGACGCUCAAGAGAACCAUCGGAGCGAGUCUUAACCUUGUAGACCCACUUACAAGUGAUGGGACGGACUCCGGGAGGAAGAGAAACAAGAUCCCAAGUACCAGUGCGUUCAAGAGCAGCAAUCUCCUCUGCCAUCGCAAACUGCCAUUCAGGAUGAACAACAGCCUGACGGUAAGAAGUCGGCUCAAGAACAGCAGCACCAGCGGUGGGAAAGCCAAAGCGAUCAAUAGGCGGACGAGGACGAGAACGCAAGCCAUAAGUAGGCUGAGAGGAAGAGGACGACUCAUCCAAGGAAGCAUCCACAGGUCGUGAACGACGAGUGUAAUGCUGAGGAAAAGAUGGAACAAGAGAAGGAGGAAUCGCCAAGGUAGAAUCGGGGGGUGGCGACGAAGAAGUCACCGGAGGUGAAGGUGUAGAAUCCGGUGACAUGCUAGGUGAGGAGACCGGGGAAGAUGGUGGCGGCGAAUCGACGAGGGGUGGAGAAGCAGAGGGAGUGGAACGAAUAGGUACAGGCGCGACGGGGGUGAUAGGUGAGUCAGGAAAAGUGAGGAAAGAGAUAUCCUCCACUGAAAAAAACGAGGAAGAUGGGCGUGGGUAGAAAGGAAGAGACUCAUCAAAAGUCACGUCUCGAGAGAUACGCAUCCGACGACCGAUAGGAUCCCAACAACGAUAGCCCUUAUGCUCAUCACUGUAGCCUAAGAAGACACACUCAACAGACUGAGCGGUCAGUUUGGUGCGUUCGCGAGGGGCAAGAAGAACAUAGCAAACACAACCAAACAAGCGAAGCAUCGAAUAAUCGGGAGAACGAUCAAAAAGACGCUCAAAAGGAACACCACCCUGCAAAGCAGCGGACGGCUGAAGGUUGAUGAGAUAGGCAGAAGUGGAGAUAGCCUCGGCCCAAAAAUGAGGCGGAAGAGAGGCGGCGAUCAUCAUAGCACGAGCCGUCUCAAGAAGGUGACGAUGCUUGCGCUCAGACACGCCAUUCUGAGCAUGAGCACCAGGACAAGAGAACUGGGCAAGAGUACCCUGCUCAGCAAGAACACCACGCAACAUCUUAGAGAUAUACUCGCCAGCGGAGUCAGCACGAAAAACACGAAUGGGUGAAGAGAACUGAGUAUGAACCAUGGCAGCAAAACGCUUAUAAAUAGACAACACCUCACUACGUGAAGUCAUGAAAUAAAGCCAUGUGUAACGAGAAAAAUCAUCGAUGAAAAUAAUAUAGUAUUUAUGACCACCUUUCGAAGCGAAAGGAGCCGGACCCCAUACAUCAGAAUGGACUAAAUCGAAAGGACGCUUAGACACUGACUCACUAUGUGAAUAUGGUAACUGAAUCUGCUUGCCAAGACGACAACCCUGACACUCUAAAGAGACAUCUCCUGAGACAGACCCCAGAAGACCUCGACGAACUAAAGACGAUAACCGAGAACCACACAGAUGACCAAGUCGAUGAUGCCACUGCUUGAAGGAACCAGUAACAGAGGCGACAGCAGCGGAGGGACUGGCGAUGGUGGUGGCAGCGGAAGGAACAUGAAGCCAGUCCAACUCCCAAAGACCCUGAGAAUCACGGCGGCGAGGGCCAGCCCCAACCAGAGUGUGCGUGCGACGAUCCUGGACAGAACAAGAGUCAACAUCAAGGAUGACACGACAACCAGAAUCAGUAAGUUGACCAGCAGAAAACAGAUUCAUGGUAAGUCGAGGAACAUGAGCAACAUCAAGAACAGAAUAAGGAGUGGAAAGAUGGCCUCUACUAGCAACAGAAAGUGGAGUACCAUCAGCAGUGAAGACAUGAACAGGAGAAUCCAGGGAUCGAAGAGAGGACAAAGCGGAAGAAUGAGAAGACAUAUGAAAAGAAGCUCCAGAGUCCAGAACCCAUGGGGAUGUACCUGACUGUGUAGAGGGCGGGUGCUCAGUGCGAGAAGCAUCAGUCACAGAACCAGCAGUACCCGUCGAGGAAGAACCUGAAGCCGCGAGCAGACGCUUAAGUCUCAGAAUAUCCUGCUCAGUCAAAGCAAUGGCUGAAGCUGGCGAGGGAGAUGAAGUCCCUGAGGAGGAGGAUCGCGCCUUGCGCAGGUGUUUCCGCUUUGUGUAGCACUGGGACUCAAUAUGACCAUUGUUGCAGUAGUCACAGUGUGGACGGGGGCGACCUGAGCCUCCAGAAGGAGUGGGCAAGAGCGGCGGAGCACUCGAGCGAGAAUGGGGCGGUGCAGCAGGUGGAGUGGAAGAAGCCCGAGUAGCGAGCACAGAGGGCACCUCCAGCAAACCAGCACCACGUAGGCGAGUCUCCUCAGCACGAAUCUCUGAAAGCGCCUCCAUGAGAGAAAUACGGCCACGAGCAAACAACUGAGCACGCCGGGGCUCAAACUCCUUACGGAGCCGAGACAGGAACUCGUAGACGCGAUGAAACUCGAAAUCGGCCUGGAUAGCCUGGCAGCAGGGGCAAGUACGACAACCAGCACUGCGGAGAGAAUCAAGCUGGCGCCAGAUAGCAGAACUCUGUGCAUAAAAGUCAUCAACAGUAGAGUCACCCUGCUGAAGAGCAUGCUCCUGACGAACCACAGAAAGGUAUAGGGCAUCACCAGAGGGCUCAUAGCGCUGACGAAGACAGGUCCACAUCUGGAAGACAGUAGGAAGACCCAGAAACUCAGAAGCAAACUGAGGCAGAACACUAGCAGUGAGAACAGCUGCAGCACGAGCAUCAUCGUCAAGCCACUGGGUGUAAACAGACAAAGCACCAUGAUACGUCUGAAGAGCCUCCUCAUAAGCCAAAACCCUCUCAUCAUAGGCACGAUCAGCAGCCUCAUCAGCAAUCUUAGCCGCAUCCUUGGCGGCCUGAUUAGCAUCCGUAGGAAGAACCAGUGGAGUCGGCGGAGUAGGGGCCACCGGAGGAACCGGACGUGGCGGACAGCAGACCUCGCCAGAAAGAACACCCCAGAGACGGAUGCCACGCAUGUGAAUGCGCAUGAAGCCAGCGAACUCGGUGUAGUUAGUACCAUCGAAGAUCACCGGACAGCGAGGGACAGCAACAUAGCCCGAUGCAGCAGACAUUUUUUUUAGGAGAGACCCGAAAUCAGCAGACGCCGAGACGGGCGGGAUCGAGCAGGCGGGAGACCUGUGCGGGGCUGGCGGAAGCGGAGGACCACACGGCGAGCAGGCGGGAGACCGGGGCCCCAAAAUCAGCAGACUUGCGGGAGACCUGUGCGGGGCGCCGAGACGGGCGGGAGACCGAGGCCGGCGGCUGGACUUGCGGGAGUCCUGUGCGGGGCGGACGGAAGCAGGGAACCGCACAGCGGCUGUGGCGUCCAGAGGGAGCUGCCCACACGGCGGCUGUGAUGAGGAGGCCUUCGGGCGGGAACGCUUCGGCCGGGGCAGCGGAUCGGAGCAGCGGCGGCCGUCACGACGGGAUCGAGCACGAGUUGCGGCGUGCGAAAAAGAAACCCUAGAGCUCUAAUACCAUGUUAGGAAUAAGCAACUUGUAUUCCCAUGAGGCCAUAGGCCGAUAUAUAUACAUGUACAGGUGUGGAACAUAUGCAGGAAACCCCUUAUACAACGGGAUAAAUACAAAGGGGCACAUGACCUAUAUUAUAACUCUAACACUUUCUUUAUUGGUAAAUUUUCUAUAACCUAGACAUUACAUGACUAGGACUAGAUAGUGGACAAAUUGUACACAAAUAGGCUCAUGAGAUUAUCGUCAACUGUUUCCCAUGAUUAUUAAGGCAUGAUCCAUUGCAGUUACAAAAAGAACACAAGUUGAUUUCCAGUUCCAGCGGGAGAACGGAAAGUUUCAGGAAAAAGUAUUUAUGCUACUGCAUCAUGCAGAUUACUCAAAGGCACAAAUCAAUCAUGGCACUGUCAUGAGUCUGGAACAACAGUUAACACAAAGCCAGCAUGAUUAUAGC